rnacentral:lncRNA from 1 species
GAAGGUGGCCUGUACUUGUCAAUUUUCAACUGGUCCUACUUUACUUUAGUGAGAUCAUUCAAUAACCUUAUUGUACAAAGCAUAAAUAACAGAAUAUCAAACUUUAUAAUUAACCAAAAAACAUCCAAAUACUAGAGUAUGCAUGCAUAAUACCAAACAUAGAACACAAAAUUUAUAUAUGAGUAACUCCCACUAAACUAAGCAUUCCUCACACUGCAAAACACCCAUGUGAGCAGUGUGCUCAUGAAAGACCUUAGGCGGAAGACCUUUUGUAAGAGGAUCCGCUAUCAUGGAGUUUGUCCCUAUGUGUUCUAUAGAAAUCUGUCCACUUUGUACCCUUUCCUUAACAACUAGGAACUUGAUGUCAAUAUGUUUUGACUUGGUCGAGCUCCUAUUAUUGUUGGAAAAUAAGACGGCUGAUUUAUUGUCACAGUAUAACUUAAGCGGUCUUUCAAUUCCUUCCACAAUUCGCAGCCCAGUGACAAGAUUCCUCAGCCAAAUCCCAUGGUUAGAUGCCUCAAAACAUGCUACAAAUUCUGCUGCCAUGGUGGAUGAAGCUAUGAGAGUUUGCUUGGCACUACGCCAAGAAACUGCACCACCAGCCAACAUGUAGAUAUAGCCUGAAGUGGAUCUCUUACUAUCUUGGCAUCCAGCAAAAUCAGAGUCAGAAUAUCCAAUGAUCUCCAAUUGGUCUGACCUCCUAUAUGUGAGCAUAUAAUCUUUUGUUCUCUGUAAAUACCUCAUAACCCUUUUGGCUGCUUUCCAAUGAUCCAUUCCUGGAUUGCUCAAAUAUCUGCCUAACAUCCCAACUAUGAACGCUAUAUCUGGACGCGUACAAACUUGAGCAUACAUAAGACUCCCUACAGCUGAUGCAUAAGGAAUCUUUUGCAUUUCCUGAAUUUCUAAGUUUCCUUUUGGGCAUUGACUGAGACUAAAUUUGUCUCCCUUAGCAACUGGAGUAUCCCCUGAUGUACAAUUCUGCAUGCCAAACCUUUUAAGUACCUUUUCGAUAUAGCUCCUUUGUAACAAUCCCAGAAUACCCCGAGAUCGGUCUCGGUGUAUCUGAAUUCCUAAUACAAAGGAAGCGUCACCAAGAUCUUUCAUUUCAAAUUUUCUUGAUAGAAAUCUCUUGGUUUUGUGCAACAUGCCUAUAUCAUUAGUGGCAAGCAGUAUGUCAUCAACAUACAGAACCAGGAAAAUAUAUUUGCUCCCACUGAAUUUGUGAUACACACAAUCUUCAACAACAUUCACCUCAAAACCGAAUGAGAGAAUUACUUCAUGAAAUUUGUGGUACCACUGACGAGAUGCCUGCUUUAGUCCAUAAAUGGAUUUUGUCAAUUUGCAAACCGUAUUCUUUGGGUCUCCUGACACAAAGUUUUCUGGUUGCACCAUAUAGAUUGUCUCAUCAAUGUUUCCAUUGAGAAACGCUGUCUUGACAUCCAUUUGAUGGAGUUCCAAAUCAUAAUGUGCAACAAGAGCCAUGAUUGUCCUAAAAGAGUCUUUCGAUGAAACCGGAGAGAAAGUCUCUUUAAAGUCAAUCCCUUCCUUUUGAGUAUAACCCUUAGCCACAAGACGAGCCUUAUACCUCUCCACAUUACCAUUAGAAUCCCGCUUGGUCUUGAAUAUCCAUUUGCAACCAAUGGGUUUCACACCUUCCGGUAAUGGGACAAGUUCCCAAACCUUAUUGUCUUGCAUGGACUUAUACUCUUCCUUUAUUGCUUCAAUCCAUUUUUCAGAGUUGGAAUCCUGCAUGGCUUACUGGAAGUUGAUUGGAUCAGCUUCCAUCAUACCAUUAUUUUCCUCAUGUUCUUGGAGAAAGACUAUGUAAUCAUCUGGAAUAGCAUUUCUCUUUUCUCUAGUGGAUCUCCGCAAAGGUAUUGGUUCUUGUAACACUUGUUCUUGAGGAUCUUGAGUUUGUUCUUCAUGAACCACCAUAUCAUCUUGAGUAGGAGGAGAUUCAACAACAAUGUCUUGUAGAGGUUCCGUACUUGCUUCAUAAGAAGCAACUGUAUGAAUCAGUUUUGGAAUUGUUACCGACUCUUCCUCUAAAGCAAAGUCCCUAAUCUUGUUCUCCCCUCCAAACUCAAUUUCCUCAAAGAACAUGGUUGUUCCCGUCUCAAAAAUUGUCUUUAAUUUGGGAUCAUAAAAUUUAUAGCCCCUGGAUCUUUCAGAAUAACCAAUAAAGUAGCUGCUCACUGUUCGGGAUUCCAAUUUCUUUUCAUUUGGCCUAUAAGGCCUUGCCUCAGCUGGACAUCCCCAUACAUGAAAAUGUUUCAAACUAGGCUUUCGCCCAGUCCAAAGCUCAUAAGGUGUUUUGGCAGCUGCUUUAGUUGGCACUCUAUUUAGAAUGUAAGCUGCAGUCUUUAGUGCCUCUCCCCAGAGUGACUCUGGCAAAGUAGAAUGACAAAUCAUACUCCUUACCAUAACCUUAAGAGUCCGGUUUCGUCUUUCAGCCACACCAUUCAUGCUAGGUGACCCUGGCAUGGUGUACUGUGGGACGAUUCCGCAUUCCUCUAGGUAUUUAGCAAAAGGCCCUGGACGUUGUUCACCUGAACCAUCAUAUCUACCGUAAUAUUCACCACCACGGUCAGAUUUGAUACUCUUAAUUCUUUUGUUGAGUUGGUUCUCAACUUCAGCCUUAAAUGAUUUGAACACAUCCAAUGAUUGAGACUUUUCAUGUAUAAGAAAUAAGUAUGCAUAUCUCGAAUAAUCAUCUAUGAAUGAUAUAAAAUAUUGUUGACCAUUCCAAGAAGGUGUUGGAAAUGGUCCACAAAUAUCCGUAUGUAUCAAUUCCAAGACGCCUGUAGCUCUAUAUGCACCAAAUUUCUUUGUUUUGGUCUGUUUACCUUUAACGCAUUCAACACAAACAUCAAAGUUUGUGAAGUCAAUGGAAUCCAAAAUUCCAUCUGACACUAGCCGCUCAACUCUAUUUUUAGAGAUGUGACCUAGGCGCUUGUGCCAUAAUGCUCCUGAAUUGUUAUUAUCAAUUUUACGCUUAGUACCACGUGAUUCCACAUUCAGGGAUUCACUAUAGGUGGCUACAGUGCUCAGCAAAUACAGAUUAUCAUAUCCAAUAAGUGAACCGGUUCCAACAAUAUUUGAAUUAAAAGACAACUUGGCUUUACUGUUUCCAAAUGAACAUGAAUAACCUGAUUUGUCCAAAUUAGAAACUGAAAUUAAAUUCCGUCUAAAUGACGGUACCACAAAAGUGUCUUUCAAAUCCAAAUAAAAUCCAGUACACAAUAAUAAUCUAAAAUGCCCUAUAGCUUCCACCUCCACCGUCUUGCCAUCUCCAACAUAGAUGUAUCUUUCAACAUCAUUUGGCUUCCGGUAGCUUAGGCAACCCUGCAUUGAAACACUGAUGUUAGUAGUUGCACCAGAGUCUAACCACCAAGUGUUUCUAGGUACUGAAGCUAAAUUGACCUCAAAACAGACCAAAGCAAAAAAUGUACCUUUCCUUGCACGCCAAGUGUGAUAUUUAGUACAUUUCUUUUUCAUAUGCCCAGACACAUUGCAAAAGUAACAGGUAUCAUCCUCUUUCUGUUUCUUUUGUGCUGGAGCAUCUGCAGCUUCAUUCUUGGGCUCAACAGUUUUCUUUCUUUUGCCCUUGUCUUUAGAGGUGCUAACAAAAUGAGCACUUUCUUUCCUUUCUUGCUUCAACCUUUCCUCUUCUUGCACACAAAAUGAAAUGAGCUCGUUAAGAGACCAUUUCUCCUUUUGACAGUUAUAAGAUAUCUUAAACUGACUGAAUUGUGCAGGAAGAGAAAGCAAUACUAAAUGAAUGAGCAAGUCAUCCGACAGCUCAAGCUUUAGCGCCUUAAGUUUUGAAGCAAUAUUUGACAUGCCCAUAAUGUAUUCCCUUAUAUUUCCUUUGCCCUGAUAUUUCAUGGAAAUCAAGUUCUGAAGAAGAGUACUUGUUUCCGCCUUAUCGCUUUUUGCAAAGCGCUUUUCAAUUUCAGCAAGGAAAUCUUUGGCACCUUUUAUCUCUUCCGAGAUAGUACCCCUAAAGACCUCAGGAAUGCCGCGCUUAAUGAUCAUAAGACUCAUGCGAUUGGAGCGAUCCCACUUCUCAUAAUCUUUCCUCUGUUCAGAGGUACUAGAUUCCGUAGGAGAAGCGGGUUUCUCCACCCUUAGUGCAAGGUCAAGAUCCAUGCAGCCAAGAACAAUUUCCAUGUUCUCUUUCCAAUCCUUAAAAUUUGUUCCAUCAAGGAUCGGAACCGAAUUCAGAUUAGCAGAUAUCGAACCGAUAGUAGCUGAAAAUAGAACAAAAACAAAUGCUAUAAAUAUACUCACAUUAAGAAAAAUUGAAUCAUCAAUACGUUCAAAUAAUGGCAUAACCCAUCUCAAGAUACCUAGUGCACCAUCAAUAUCAUGUCUUUUGACAGUAAUACUGAUUGCUAGUGGUACUCUUGUUGUAAUGAUCAAACAUUGAUAAUAAAUCAUGUCAAAUAACAAACCCUUCUUUGGAUUGAUUUAUCAUUCACAUGUAAACCCUUAAAAUUAUCACAUGUUUAUCAUCACAGGUGUGUAUGAAAUCCGGCCAAGCAUUAACUUUUCCUUUGGGGUCCAUUAAUACUCGCAUGGAUAAACAUACACACUCACAAACUUUUAAUAUUUCUUAUGAGUAAUCUCCAUGAAAAGAGGUCACUUUUGUGACUUUCUUAUUUUAAUUGACUCAUUUAAAAUAUCAAACAAUUGUAUAAAAAUACAAACCAUAACCAAAAUUUGAAAACAUACUAAAAAUUUUACUUUUCUUUAGCCCAGAAUUCAUUCUUAACAAGAGAACGAUGGCAUGUAUUCAACCAAAUUUUGCAGCUUAAAUCAUAUACUGUGUGAACAGUAUGAAUAAAUUACAGAAACCGAAACUGAAUUUAUACAUUAAAAAAAAAACCACUUGCAUAUAUAUAAUCCGUGAAUAUAUAUGUAUAUAUAUAUAUAUAAACGAAACUGAAUUUGAAACUAGAUAUUGAAACAUCAAUGGAAGUUGCCACUGAAGCAUGAAUAUGAUGUGAAUGCUAAUACAAAAUUGUUACCAAUUUCGUUUCUUUAAACCCAACAAUCUGAAUUUGCUCAAUAAUUAAAACGAAAACCCAAUACUUCAUCAAUGAAACAUGUGAUGACCCAUGGCGAAAAAAAAAUAUAUACGUGAAUCCAUAAAAACCGAAACUGCAGACAUGAUUUAAUAACCAAAAAUUGAAACCCUAAUUUUUUUAGAAUUACCAAAGUCAUACAUGAAUCAGGCAUGGGUGGCUCUGAUACCACUUGUAGGUUUCUAAUAAAUAAGGAUUUGUUCCUAACCACAUGCUUUUCUACCCAUAUAGAAAAUAGGAGCAUAAUCCUAAACCACACUUGAUUAACCCAUACCCGAAAAACAUGAUGAAGAUCUAGAGCGGAAGCGUACCUGAAUGAGCCAUGGGAAUCGCUGAAGGAUCUGGGGUUGUGAUCUUCCAAUUGUAGAUCACCCUUAGGGUUUCCUGAUGUUCUCCUCUGAUGGGGAUGAGGAGAAACUUUUUACGUUGUUACGUUGUUAUGUCUACAAUUGGGGACCAUAACCCUAUAAGUAACUGCAUCAGUUACAAUUAUGUUUUCAAUAUUUCUAAUUUGGCCCCUCGUCAAAUUAGAAUAUUGCCUUAUGGUAUCCGCACAAUACCCUUUCAUAACACAUAUGCCCUUAGCCAUAAGAUCAAUAUUAAAUAGACCACUUUAGUUUUAGCUAAUUAAAUAAUGACCCUAACACAAUUAAAAGUUACAUUUGUGACCCAAAAUUCUAACAUUCCUUGUUUGGUGUUUAUGAAAUGUUUGAAAGGCUUGUUUGUGCAGUGAGGCUUUUGAGAAACCCCAUAAGGAUGAGGAACCGUCCAAGCCCCACGGGUCUUUGAUGUUGAUGUGGGAAAGUGAUUGAUUAUGUUGUUGUUUUCUUUGGAGGUGUUUAUUUAAAUUUAAAUUUAAAUUGUUUUUCCAAAAGCGACCCCUUGAAAGCAACGUUUGGGAAUUAACGUAUCAAAACUCAAAAGUCCUGUUCUCUAUUUCUUCUUUGUUUUUGAUUAGGACAUAAUUGUUUGUUAAACCCCAUCCAAACUAAACAUAUUUUACUUAUAGAUAGAGAGAUGAAAUUGUGGGAUGGUAGUUGGAGAGAGAGGAGUGGACAAGCAUUACCUGUUGUUGUUCUUCAUGAGGGAUAAUGGCCACAUCUACAUGUGAGAUACCUGUUAUGAUUGUGACUCAUGUAAAUGAUAGUCCAUUCAUCUAAGAUGGAAGAAAAUUGUACCAUUCUAGCUAAAGUAAAGAAACAUAUCAAAUAAAGUAACAGGCUAAUAUUAAUUGAUAAUUACCAUUAAUUGGGUUUGAAUAAUUUAUGAACUGAUUUUUUAAUGCACCAUAGAUAGAUCUUCGAAUACAAAAAUUUUAAAUUGUGAGGACAAUAUAUAUAGGUGUAUUUAUAUUUUUAUUAGCACAUAUUUUUAAGGUAGUUUGAAUGUGGUUUUAGUUAAUUUAUAUGUCUUUUGUGCUAUUGGAGAAUGAAUGUACUUUCGAUUAACUUGAACAUAAAUAUAAACAUAUUAAAAAAUUGUAAUAUGAAAAACUUAACAUAUUACAAUUAUAUACAUCAUAAUUGUUAUCUAUAAAUUUUAAUAUUUUGAAAAUUAUAUAAUUUUAUGGAAAAUAUGAGUGCGAGAGCACUUUCUAUUGGGUGGAGCAAUAUUAAUUAACACUUACCAUCUUAAUACUAGUAUACCAUUGGUCUAAAAUUUAAAAAAAACAUGUGAGGGUAGAUGCCCCUUUCUUACACGUCUUACAUCUGCAUCUGUUCGUCAAUAUCCUUAAUGAGAUGUAAUCUUAUUUAAGUCAGAAAUAUUUAAAAGAGAAUUAGAUAUGUACCACUUGAACAAAUCACAUAUUGAUAAUUUUUUAUCUUAGUCAAUAUAUCCCAGUAGUCGUGAGAUUAAUCUAUAGUUGCACGGUCAGCGCACUAAACAUAUGAGACUAACAAUUUCUUUAUCCACAAAAGUUGAUAAUCGAACCCCAAUAACUUACUUAAAAGAUCUCAGGUUGAACGACUAUAUCAACUCACUUGAUUUAUCUAUUAUUAGUAGGUAAAUUCUGUGGUACCCUGAUUUUUUUUUGGGUAUGGUACCCGUAUUAAGUAAUUUAAUUGAUUAUUAUCAUGUUAUCCAAGGUAAAUACCACAUCUUUAGAUUUUACUUUACUUAUCAAUUAACUUUAUCUUAUGAAAUUUAUAUUUUAAUGAAAAAUGAAUGAGUAGUGGAAACGAAUGAUGAUGAUGAAGAUGCGCAUAAAAUGACCAUGGUUGAUGGAUGAAUAAAGUUCAGAAAACAUAACUCGCAAAUCUCACGUCCCUAAGAAUGCAACGCUGCAUUAAUACGAUAGAAUAAAAUCAAACUUUCAAUCGGUAUAUUGAGUUUUUAUUAUCGGACGAACUCAUUUUGGGUAUCACACCUUAAUCUAGCUUAAGGUACCACAGCAAGGUAUAUGAAGUAAUUGAUUAAUCUUUCUUUUCAUUUUUUUCUAAAAGGUAGGACUUUUUUUACUGUAGCAUUUUUAUUGAUGAAUUAUCUAAUCUGUCUAAUUUUUACUCUCGGGGUUAAUUAAGUUAAAAUCUGUAGCAUAUUGCACACUUGUGUUUCAGCAGAGGCGUUGAUAAUUGUUUAUGAAGUUAUUAAGAGCAACACACAAAUAUAUCCCUGUUUUUUAAUUGUUUUCGUGUGUUUCAUUCUCUCUUUCUUUUUAUAAAAAAAAUUAUUGAUUUUCAAACAAAUGAGAGAUCAAAAUCUUUUUGGGGUCUGAGAACAACUUUUUAUUGAUAUCGCUCUGGUACUCUUACAAACGGGAAAAUUUAGUAUUUUUUCAGUUAAUUAUUUAGAAUAUAAAGAAUUAGAUGGUAAAUCUUAAAAGUUUAUGACACAAGAAAACAUAAUAACAAAAAUGUAGAAACUACAUUGUGAUAUUGUUAAUUAUGUGAACAAGAUACAAUGCUGCUUAAUAUAGUUGCAGCUUGGAUACAAAGUGAAUGAACCUAGACAAUCUAAUGUAUCUAAUUCCUAACUAACUUCAACAAGUAUAACAGAAGCAUAACUAACAAAACUACUACUACUAAGCUUGACUCUCACUCACUAAGCUUGAGUCAAGCGGAGGUAUUUUUAUCUCUAACACAUAACAAAUUAAAGUAAAAAUGUAUGGAACUCUUUUUUUUAAGUGUGUGCAAAUAAUUGUAUUUUUUAUUGGGGUGUUUCAUGUUUGCAGUACAACCUUAAAAUUUUCAAAUCAAAACAAAUGCAAAAUCCAACAAGCAUCCUUCCUAAGGAACCGAUUAAAUAAGAGAGAAAGCCUGGUCCAGACGAUCUCCUAUUUUUUAUAAAAACAAUAUUAUGUAUAGAUGUAUAAUUUUAUAUAUAAAUUAUUGUCUUGUGAGUUGUGACUCACUAGUAUGAUUAUAUAGCUGAUAAAAAAAACUUGUAUGAUUAUAUAUAUUUAAAUUUUAUUCCUUCUAGCUCUCCUUCUAUAUAUUCAGUGAAUCCCUCAGUGUCCUCUCUUUUUGCAUUUUUCCCCUACGAUGGUUUAAGGUGCAUAUCAAUUGUCAUUGUCAUUUGUCUUCUUCUAAAACUAAACUUAUGGUACAAUGCACCCUCCGGUCACAAUCUAUUAGUAACAUUUGAUGCAUCAUGGCCAGCAUUUUCAGAAUUUCAAAGUCUGAUUAGAUUAAUCAACAAUCCAAGAGGACAAAAGGGAAAGAUAUAAUUAAAGUCUAGCAUCAUAUCAAAAUUAAGCAUGUCUCUUUCUUUCUUUCUUUCUUUCUUUGUUUUGCUAGUUUUUAUUUUGGAGAAAUGCACAUUCCCGAAACGUAUAGCCGCACAAAUUCCUUGAGUCUAUCUUUUGCUAAAGAAAAAAAAAAAAAUAAUAAACGUGAACAUCACAUAUUUUUAUAACCCUAAAAUAGUGAUCCUUGGGCUACAUCAAAAUCAGUUCUUGCUGGCUGAAUCAGGCAAUGACAAUCUAUCAACAAGGUUAAAAUCAAUUUGACCCAAUAAAAUGUUUCCUUAAGUAUUAAGAGUCAAAACAUUAUUAUAACCACAAGAAUCAUGCAACUAAAGUCAUAUAGCAUUACAUAUUGCAGACGUAAGUGUAGGGGACAUUUGAUUUGAACAUAAAUAAAUUAAAUGAAUUAUUCCAUCAACUAACUACCAAUAAUCCAAUACAAGCAUCAAUUCUAAUUUAUUGAAUAGCUACAAAUUUCUGUGGAUGAAUUGAAAGUGUGUUAAAUUGAGAUGAUGACCUCAUGUUUGAGGAGUGCGUGUUUGAGUUUACAAAGAAUAGAGGAAAGUGGGGUGGUGGGGGAUUGAAAACGAAAGAUUUUGACCAGUUAUAGCAAAUGACAAAUAAUUAUAACAAAUAGUAAUAAUUAUUAUUGUAGACACGAAACUGCUUUUGUGGCCUUUAUCAUUUACUAUAUGCAAUAUAUUGAUGUAUGUCUCUGUCACCCUUCACCAACUUGGCUUUUUCAUUUUAUGGAUGUUUCUCAAGUCAGUUCUUGCCUCCUCUUGGAGAUUUUGGACCUCAUUGGUGGGCCACCAUAAGGGUUCAAUUUCCACUUGUUUCUUUUCAUGCAAGCCCACUGGCCCAGAUGGUUUCUCCUUCUAUUCUUUUUCUUUUAUUUUACUUUUCCCUUUCUCUACCAUAAACAAUACAUAUUGCACAAUCAUGAUAGUGUUGGUUUUGUCACUUUUUAGAUUGUGUCCCAUAUUUCCAUUUAACAAAUCUUGUAUUUGGUGCUGAUUGUGGGACCCAAAAGUAGGUAAAGCUAAGCAGAGUGAUUGAUUGAGACCAUAACCAUAAUAAUAAUGCCCACUUUGCCAAGAAACUUGAUAGUGGUGACAAGAUAAACACAUGUGUGCCACUAUAAUUCUUUAUAUGAUGAAUAAAGAAGCAGUGAGCAACUUUGCUUUGGGUGGAACACCUUUCAAGAGAGUCUUUAACACUAAAGGUUUUAGUUGGACAGGUUUGGCUGUUUGAGUCUUUGAGAGAAUGAAUUUAGGUUCUCUGGAAAUUCUAAUUGCUGAAUUGAAUAGGUGAUGCGGAUGCCAGAGGCUUCUUACUUCAAGUUUGUUUGGUUGUGCUGUGAUGUGCCUCCUAAGUCUUCAUAUUGUUGUUGUUGAGGUCAUAUUGUUGUUGUUGAGGUUACAUUUUCUCUCUUUCCCCAAAGUCCUACUUCAAUUUGAAGAAAGAGUCAACAAAGUUUUAUUCAAUGCAGACAUUACUUUUUUUUUCUACUUGUAUUUCAAAAACUCUCCAUCUAACCAUCUAUAUCACAAUUUGAUUGACUCUGUCCAUGUUAUUCUGGUGCAUUUGAAGGAACAUGGCAAUGAGCUUUAGAGUCAGUAGCCAAUCAGUAUUAUAUGCAGCACCACUGUUUCUACUAUUUUGUGUUUAUGGUUUUGAAUUUGAAUUUGAUGAUUUCAGUUUGGCUAUUUAUGAAUUAAUCACUGAAUGAAUUUCAUGUUUCAGCUUAGUAUUUGUUUCUUGAGCUUAGCAAUGACCAUGAUUGCCUUUGCCUCUCCUUUUAUUCAUGCUAGUGAAGCAGUUUUAUCUUUUCAGCAUUAAGUUAUGCAAGUUCCUGAAUAUCUAAUAUUCACCAGAUUUUUUAUUCUUGCUUAAGCUCAGGGCACUUUUCCAGCUGAUGUAGUAACAUGGUUACAUCUUAAUUAGUAGCUGUAUAACCAUCUAGAUGUGAUUACACUGAGCUUCAACAAGGAAGCACAAUGCAAGAUGGUGUUAAUUCCCACUACUCAGGCAUCAUAGUAGAGCUGAAAUUGAUGGAAAGUUAUUGUAAGAAUAGUGUAUCUAAGCAAGAAUUGCAGCUAUUAUACAGUGGGAGUCUGGGAGACAAUAAUCUACAUGCAGUUUCUGUUUGGUAUGUGAGGGCACCUGCUCAAACAGUAGUACAUGAUUGACUUAUUCCCCAUAAGCAAUGUUUCAGCUUCGAAUUAUGUGUAUAAAAUAAUUUCUAUUGAGAGAGCUAGCCUACCAGAACGUGGAUAUUCUCGGUCUGAAAAAGUCUCUGAUCUCCUUCGUUGUUCUUUGUUGAGCUGAAAUAAUAAAGCUUCCAAUGUGUAACAAGUUUCACAAGAGGAUUGCUCAAAUUUAGUUAUUCUACUGAUCCCCAUAAAAACAAGUGCACUACUAAUAUUAAUAUUGAUUGAUUAAAAAAAAAGAAAGGCCAUACUUAUAUCUCCUUUAACACAUUUCUGAUAGGGAAUUGGUUUUAAUGUUACAACACUUUCAAUUCCCAUAGAAUGUAUAAUUUGUAUUCCAUACUUAUAAGUGUGGUGUGUAAUUGGUUCCCGCAAAUAUAAAUGGGGUAAAUUUGGGUGACGAGAAAAUGAAAAAGAAAUAAAAAAAAAUGGUGACAUUAAAGCCAAUUCCCGGUUCCCUUAUUGAUAUAGAGUAAAAAUUGUGGAACAUGUGGUCAUUUUUAUUCAAUCAAAAGUCUAGCAAGAACAGCUUGUUCAUUGCGUAUGCAACUGCAGUUGUACUAUAUUCUCUGUUGUAGCAGGUUCAGAACUUCUGUUUCAAGCUUUGAACCUCUGGCACAUUUACCAUGUCAGUAGUGGAACAGCUAUAGAAUCUAGGAAACUUUAGACGAAGAUGCACUUCUAUAUCGGAUGAAACUUUGAAUUAUUUUCAUAACUGUGAACAUGAUAAGACUAUACAAGAAGGGUAAGGAUUCUCUGCAGACAGAAUGCAUCAUAAAUCAAAAUCCUGGAAGUUUGAUUCCAUGCUUCAGAUCAUCCAAAAUGAUACUAAAAUUCGAAGUUAUUGCACUAUAAUAAAGCCAAUGUUUUAUCUCAAUAUCUUAUAGUUACUGCUGAGAUAAUACACAUUUUUUUCAGGUACUGAUAAUUGAUAGAAGCAUAGAGAUCUGAAUACUGAGAUCCUUGUGGUCUGCAAAAAUAUGAAAAUCUGAAGGUUCACCAUAAAGCUACCUAUUGUUACUGAUGACGGCUUCUUACUAUUUUUGAAAGCUAGGACAAACAUGUUAACCUUUUGCAAUUUAUUCGAGUACAACAAAAAAACUGAUUUUACCACUAAGUGGGUUGGUUAAAUGAAUAAAAGGAUUUCAAAACAAAGACAAACAGCUUAAUCUUUCAGAAGUUUAUUAUCAAUUCUAACAGUCAAUGUUCUGAUCAAAAUUUAAUUGUAUUGACAAUCCUAGUGGAUAUGAGCCUCAUAAUCAUAACAAUCCUUAGUCACAAAACUCAAACUUUAGCCAGAGCUACAAACGCAACUGAAUGAAAAUACCAUUCCCAACUCAAUGAUAUUUAGUCAUUCCCUCCUUUACAUGUAUAUAAAUAAUCCAUUUAUAAUUUUUCUACACCCCAAGAUUACAAUAUAUUUGCAAAAUUUUAGAGCAUCCAUAAUUGUAUCCACUCCAGUCCCUGUUGUUAAACAUACAAUUCCAAUCCAGGUUCCAUCUUUCCAUCCAUGGCAUUAUGUCAGCAACAAGAUUCUAUGCAAUGCAAACAACGCCUUCACUGCGUUGCAAACGGCUUUAAUUAAAGGUUCUUGAAUGUACUAGAUAUACUAGUCCGUUCUAAUUGAACAGGAGUCGAGAUUUACAUGUUUACAAGGAUAGACCUAAACAGAUUACAAGUAUCAGACUCAACUGCUUACAAGGUACUGGUAACACAGGCAUCCCGGCAGAGUUAUGGGCUUUUCCGAAGAGCUAAAGCCAAAAGGUAGUAGAGAGCCGAAUCAACUGAUGAUAAUGCAACGAUAAGCAGUGCAACAAUAACAAGAGUCAGAGUCGCAGUCCUCAGCUGCAAAGGAUUCAUAAAGAUAUAAAGCAUUCAAUAGAUUUAAACAAUAAAAGACAUUAUGAAUAUAAUUGGUACCUGUUAAUUAUAUGAAAAAUAUCUUUCAGUGUAGUACUUCACAUUAUCUGAGGAUUAGUUUCAUAUUUCCUUAUAUUUCAUGAUUUGUUUUCAUGUGUAAUUAGGAUUAAGAGUCCUUUAUUGGUAUAGAUAAGGAUUAGUCUUUUAUCUUUUGAUAUAUUUUCCAACACAUCAUAUCAUCUCAAGUAAAUAUCAAUUCAGUUUCUAUUCUCUCCCUUUUCCUUUCUCUAUACCAAAAAACAAAACAUUAUAACAGAACCACUAUGGUGUGUAGCUAUAAAUAAUAAACAAAAGAGACAUACUGUAUUACUAAAGCUUGGCCACUCUACAUACUUCAGCUGGCUAGGUUGCUCAAUCAGAAAUUCAAAUAAAGAUUUUAGCCCCCUGGAAAAGAAUAGAUAGUUAUUACUUAUUAGUCAAUAUGAUCAUAUUUUUCUCCAAAAUUAAAUAGAAAAACUUAAGUCUUUAAUCACUAUAAAAAUAGCAUCUGUACAUGACAAAGAACACAAAAUUGUUAUACUACUGCACUUUAACGAAAAAUUGAAGUUUCAAAAUACCAGAAGGCAUCCUUGAUCAAUGUUAGCAAAAAAGGCUUUUGAGGCAAAUCAUCAUAGCAUAGAUGGCGACCAUUUCUUGCGGCUGACGUCACAAAUUUGGAGCAAAUAUGGUUUGCACGUUCUUGUUUUAUCUUCCUUCUACAAAUCUGGCAACACAGCAAGCAAUCUCAAAUGAUAUAUUACCACUAGAAACACAUGUACAGACUCAUAUAAAGAAGGAGGCAUGAAGGUAAAAAUAGAGAGGAGAUAGGAAAUAAUUACCAUUUGUGGUGUUCGAGAAACAUCUCUGUAAUAAUCAACUCUCACUGGAAACUUCGAUGGCAGAAAGGGAGUACCUUGAUGAAGAAAACCUGCAAUAUAUCAAGUCAAUGAAAUGAAACAGGAAGCAAAAUAAGCAGUCAUAGGUCGAAACCAACAUAGUUAGAAGAAAACCUGUAUAGUUCACUGGCGACUGAGAAAGGAUCUCCAUUAGAGACUUAAAUGUUCGCUAACCAAUCAUACCCAAUUCAAUGCUGGAAACCUGCAUAACCUGAUUUGGUUAUUGAAUAUUCAUGCAUGAUCAAUUUGUCUCAAAAUAAAAAACCUUUUCUCCUUAUGUUUCUUGGUUAUAACCAAGAGUAUUAACAGUUGACAGAAAAGCAGCCAUUGGGUACAAAAUAAAAAAUAAAAAGUAAGCAAAAAUCAACCAGAUCAGAAAGAGAGAAAAUAAAGAAAGCUUUGAUGUGUUGAAAAUAUUGAUAGCUCAUGAAAUUGAUUCUCAUCAGUCAAAGUGCCUUACACAUUAAACUUAUCAAGACUUCAAUUUAUCCAGGAAAGUGAUAAGAGUUCAUUACACACUACACAGAAACCAAGACGAACCUUAAGCUUUAACAAAAACUGCAUUGGACGAGGAAAAUCCUGCCAAGUCUAGAAACAGAACUGCACAGAUUCAAGUGCCUGAAAAUGCUGGAAAUUGAAAUGCUAGCAUAAAAUUUUGUAGGUUUUUAUGUAUACUAGUUCUACAAGUGAGCCAAUAACUCAAUACCUUAACCAAGUUUGCAGCCGGUCUGAGUUUAUAACAUUGGUUACUUAGUACUGUAUUUAGUGCUACACUUUAUGACAUAUUUGGAAUUCCUGACUCGAAAUUAAUUGAAAAUUGGCAUUACUAGAAGCUUAGCUGAGCAUGAGAGGAAUGCUAACCACUAUUAACUUUACAAUGAACUCCAUAAAUGUCAAUCAAUGCUACCAAAGCUGAAUUUUCGAUACACUAAAUAGGAAUACAAUGCCCUUGACUCCAUACUACAUUUAGUACAAUCACAUGAAUGGACAAGUUUAUCCCCUAAUUCUGAGGGGAUCAUUUGGAUUCUAUCACUAUAUUAGCUGCAUUGUUCAACAACCAUUGUGUGCAAAUGUCAAGUUUCCACUUUCUACAGUUAAUUAAUCCAGUUCUUCUUUCAGGUAUCAGUAAAUAAUUUGAAUUAAAAUUUCUGAGAAAAAGGGUGUCUAACUGAUUUUUUUUUUUAAAUCAUAUAAAUGGCUUGUGUAGCCAUAGAAUCCACAACUACCCAGAACAAUUAGGAAACUGAAAGUGGCAGAUAAAGAGAUUAAGCUCGAUAUUGAAUAGGAGAAUGAAAUCUUACCAGUGAGAAUGAUAACGAGCGAUUUGGUUGAGUCUCUCAGUAGGGAAAUGGAUAAUUUGGCUGCGCAGAGAGAGAGAAGAACCUCAAAGUUUGCUAAAAACCCAGAACACUGAAGUGGUUUAUCGUUAGACUGGUUUUUUUUUGUUUGGUCAAAUUGUCAGGUUGGUUCAUGGUUAGGAUAAAAAAAGGCAGGGACUAUUUGUACCAUCCCUCUUUACUAUCCACACCAUCCCCUUAAGUGCAAAAAUACACUUAUACCCCCAAAUAUUUUAAAAAAUAACUGCUCCAAUGAAAAAAAAAAAACCUAAUCUACACGGCUGCACCAUCUCCCAUCUCCCUCCUCUCAUUCACGGCCCUCAUCUCCUCCUCUUCAUCUCCUCUCAUUCUGACGGUCAUCUCCUCAUCUCCUUCACGGUUUCCCCACCAAAGUUCCAGCCUCCAUCACGGUCCUCCUUCACAUUUCCCCACCAAAACCCUAGCCUCUAUCACGGUUUCUCCGUUGUCCAUCACCAUCACGAUUUCAGAAGGAGAAGAAAGAAAGAGGAAGAAGGACUCAAUUUCAGAAGGAACCUUGACUCUGGUAAGUCCCUCUGAGUUGUUCCCUUUGGUUUGCUUAAAAACCCACAUUUUCCCUCUGAGUUGUUCCCUUUUCAUUCCAUUUGCCCAAUGUUGUUCCCUCCGAGUUGUUAGCCUGUUUAAAAACCCACAGUUUCACCUUUCCGCAAUCAAGGAUUGCGGUAGUGUGGCAUCGCGGGUUAGUUUCCGCAGCUAUGAUAGCGGUAGUUUCCGCAGCUAUGAUAGCGGUCGUUUCCGCAGCUAUGAUAGCGGUCGUUUCCGCAGCUAUGAUAGCGGUAGUGUAAUUCGAUCAAGAAGCACAGGAGUUAUAAUUUGCAGUAUUAAUAUGUGAUUUUCAAAAUUAGUAAUAUUAUAGCACAGGUCUGUUUGCUUUGUAAUAUUCUCAGGUCUGUUCCCUGUAUUCUAGCUUGUUAUAAUUUGUAAUAUUCUAGCUUGUUUUCUUUGUGAUUCAAAUUAGUUCUGAUUUCUGGUUAAUUAGCAUGAAAUCAUGUCAGCUACAGAUUUCAUAUCAUGUGUAGGCCAGAAACUUGUGAUGCCAUGAAAUCAUGUUUUUAUUAAUAUGUGCUUUGGGUUUUGUUUUGUAAAUAAAGAACUAACAUUGAUUUUCUUUGUUAACACAGGCAUGAUGGCAAGGACAAAACAUACACAACGCGUUGUGGGAGAGGCUUCACGACCACCUCAUCCUCCCCGAGACCGUUCGCGAACUCAUGCUUCCGCUCGCCGAGAUCGUCAAGGGACUCAGGGUGUGGGAGAAGUUGAGGAGGGUGUGCUGGUUAAUGCACGACAUUGGGGUGCUGAGGAUGGUGAUGGUCUGCAGAAUGAGAAUGACAAUGACAAUGAUUAUGAGAAUGAGAAUGAGAAUGAUGAUGAUAAUGAGAAUGAUAAUGAGAAUGAGGUUGAGAUGGGUUCUGAAGAUGGUGAUGAGGAUGGUAAUAGUGAGCAGGAUGGAGAGUCUGAGGAUGGUGAUGAAACAGAUGGUGUUUGGUAUCCCGGAGGUCCCUAUGACCUCUCUCUUUUGCCUAAGUUUGGGCAGCAUAUAGCGCAUGACGUCUGGAAGUCAUAUGUGCGAUCUGACUUCAAAUGUAGGGCCCCAUUGAAGAUUCAUCAUCAUGGAAAACACUUCUUUCCUGUAAAAUUCUUCUCUGACAAUGUGAAGACACUUGUGGCAGCUGCAGGGUUGGGACACCUUCCGUAUAGUUGUAACGGCGGCUCAGUUGACCUUAGCAUUGUGACCGCCUUUGUUGAGCGAUGGAUGCCAGAGACGUCCUCAUUUCAUAUGCCGUGGGGCGAGAUGACGAUCACUCUAGAUGACGUCUCAGCUCUAUUGCACAUCCCUGUGGUAGGGUCCUUUUUCUCAUUGGGCAAGCCGACUAAGGAAGAGGCUGCCCCUGUGGUUGUUGAUUUGCUGGGGGUGACAAUUGAGGAGGUGCAGGAUGAGUUUCGGAGGUGUAGAGGUCCUAGUCUUCAUUAUGCUUGGCUUCUAGCUCUUGUGAAAAACCGUGUGAAGGAAUUGAAAUGGACAGAAGCAGCCCGAGCUUACUUGUUACGCUUGGUUGGCAUGACUCUCUUUUGUGAUAAGAGUAACACGUCUGUCAGUGUUGCCUAUCUUGAGCUUUUCAGGGAUAUUAGCUUGGCUGGUCAGUAUGCAUGGGGUGCGGCGGCGUUGGCAUAUUUGUAUGGUCAGUUAGGGGAGGCUUGCAAAAAGACUGGGAGGACAGUUGCUGGGUAUUUGACUUUGCUACAGGUCAGUAUUUGACAUAUUUGUUGUUAAGUUCAUUUGUAUUUUUUUGUAUUUUAAUACUGACACCUUAGAUUUGCAGGCGUGGGUAUAUGCACGUUUUCCUGGGUCGCUGUUUGAGAGAAAGGAGUUCCCUCAAUACAAAGCGGGUAUGCCUGUGGCUAGGAGGUGGUUGGCAUUCAGGGGGGCAAAGAAAGUGGACCAGAAGAGACUUAAUCUCGAUAACUUUCCUGCUGGUGGAGUGAUAUGGAGGCCUUAUAUGGACCACUAUGUUCAUCGUUCAUUUGAACAUGUCUCACUGUAUAGUGGAUUCAUCAGGUUCAACGGCUCAGUUUAUCCAUACCUACCUGAGCGUGUAUCCAGGCAGUUUGGGAUUGUGCAGUCCAAGCCUCGAGCUCCUCCAUCAAAAGUUUCAUGCGAGGAUUGUGAUGCUAUGUGGAUGGAUUGGCGGAACCAUACUAUUAGAGGACGCUAUGUUGAUUACCCGCACGAGUGUGAUACUGAGUACAAUGACUGGUACAAACAACACUCACAUCCUUUCAUGAUUCCUGAGGAGCUGAGAGUUGACCAUUGGUCAUUUCUUGAGGUUUGUUAAACUUAACCCUGUAUUGACACUUUCUUGCAAUAUUACCUUGCGAAUAUUGACACUUUCUUUGAAUGUUACAGGGUCAGUUUGCUUUGCUGUCGACAUACUCUACUGUUGCUGUUGAUCCAGAGACUGUUGGGGCACCCACAGAGGGCACAACCAUGUGGGAUGUAGUUCAUACUAUGCAUUCCAUUAUUCAGAAGACAUUGGAGGGACCGGAGGAGCCAAAGCAACGUAGAAAGAAGAGGAGUGCUAGCGGGGUUGGGACUUCAGCUGAUUAUGAGUGAUGCUAGUGUUUAUGAGUGAUGGAUGUGUUUAUGUUGUUCACUUUGGUAGUUGUGUUUAUGUUUAUGGACAUGUAUGUGUUUAUGUUGUUUAAGUUUAUGGACAUGGAUGUUGUAUAUGUUUAUGUUUAUGGACAUGGAUGUGUUUAUGUUUAUGGGAAACUGCAGCCAAAUUUUAGUUUCAGUUCUCAUCUUGUAUACUUUCUGUUAAACUUUUACUGAGAAUUUUACAACAAUCUAAUCUUGUAUUCUGUUAACUUCCGCUAUCAAGAUAGCGGUAACGUCCGCUAUCAAGAUAGCGGUAACGUCCGCUAUCAAGAUAGCGGUAACGUCCGCUAUCAAGAUAGCGGAUACACCAAUCUCACUUUGUACCCAUCUUGUUAAAUUUUUACUUCCGCUAUCAAAAUAGCGGUAACGUCCGCUAUCAAGGUAGCGGUAACUUCCGUUAUCAAGAUAGCGGAUACAAUAAUUUCAUUGUGAAGAGGUCUUGUUAAUUUUUCACUUCCGCUAUCAAGAUUGCGGUAACGUCCGCUAUCAAGAUAGCGGAUACAAUAAUUUCAGUUUGCUUGUUAUUUUUUUACUUCCGCUAUCACGAUAGCGGUAACGUCCGCUAUCAAGAUUGCGGUAACGUCCGCUAUCAAGAUAGCGGAUACAAUAAUUUCAGUCUGCUUGUUAAUUUUUUAACUUCAGCUAUGAAGAUAGCGGUAACGUCCGCUAUCAAGAUUGCGGUAACGUCCGCUAUCAAGAUAGCGGAUACAAUAAAUUCAGUUUGCUUGUUAAUUUUUUAACUUCCGCUAUCAAGAUAGCGGUAACGUCCGCUAUCAAGAUAGCGGCAACUGCCUGGGUAUAAAAUUCAGAAUGCUCAUAAUAUUCACUAAGGUUACAUUACAGAAUUCAGAAUGCUCAUACAUUCACUAAGGUUUAUAACAUUACAGAAUUCAGAAUGCUCAUACAUUCACUAAGGUUUAUAACAUUAAAGAAUUCAGAAUGCUCAUAAAUUCACUAAGGUUUAUAACAUUACAGAAUUCAGAAUGCUCAUAAAUUCUCUAAGGUUUAUAACAUUACAAUAAUUAUUAAUCCUCACUAAGGUCUAUUCUUGAGUGAUCACCACCACCAUGUUUAGCGGCAAGAUAUGCACUAUAAGUGUCGAUUCGAGCAGAAUAGGGAUCAACCCAUGUCUUGGCCUCAUUCCUGCGAUGAUAUGUCCACAUGUGAGCAGUGAGCGGCAUUGGGUGCCCAUCACGAAGAACAACCUGCAUUGGGAAAUUAAGCAUCUUAGAACACUAUAAAUAUAUAUAUAUACUUAAAAAGACAACAAUACGGUAAGAGUUAACUACCCCAAUAAAGUGAUUUUCAUUAACAAAUGCAACUGCAAUGCGUUUGUGGAGUGCCGGUGGGUCUGCACUUCCUCUCAAUGGGAAGAAAGUGUUACAUCCACUAAUAGAAAGGGUCAUGAACACCACUUUAUAAGCUGUGGAUAUAAUGUAUGCCGUAUUAGGAACGGUCAUCCACUUAUCGUCUCCUACUGGCCCGUCUGAAGUGACAUGUAAAGCACAACGUAUCUCAUUUGCCUCAGCUAUCCCAAAUAUUGAACAGUACAUGUCAAAUUCAGUGUCAAGUUCCUGGAUCAGAGUCCGACGAACAAUCGCCCAUUUGUCUUCUCCCAUAUCCAACAUUGCAGCAACACAUCUAAAUCCGCAAUGUCCGUCUCCCUCUACAUGAACCAAGGAAUCAAUGAAUGGAUGAAACUCUUCGGGGAUUUGUCUCAACAUGCUUGGGCGGAGGCUUUGAUUCUUCAUUCGGCUUGUAGAGCGCUGACUAGUAUUUGGUGUGGAGUUGCUACCUUCCCAAGAGCCCGGAUAUUGUACAUCAAUACGCUCCCAACGAGACGCCAUACGUUUUGUAGAGCGCUGACUAGGUACUUUGAUACUCUUUGCUGUGACCUUUUUCGAAGAGCCUUUUUGCCUACCCUUAGUUGGGACCUUCUAUGGAGGAGGAUACAUGGAAGUCCUUUCCGGGAAAGAAAUCAUUCUAAUGCUAUCAAUGAUGGACUUCCUCACUGCCGCAGAAGAUCCGUCAAAUUUAACUUUUAAAGCUUCAAGUUCAGACUCAAAACUGACGCCCAACUCAGGAUCAAUGGCAGGGUCUGAACAAUCCCAAUUCAAUUUCCUCCAAUGGGCAUGUACCGCAAGUAAUGGGACAAAAGUUAACUUCUGAAGUUCACAGGCACAUGGUAGUCCAUGGGUUCUUCUAAUCGCACAACCGCAAUAUAAACCAUCAACACGAGGCCUACCGAUUUGUUUCCUCUCUCUAGCAAUCAUAUGCAAUGCUGCUCUAGAAACAAAGCCUCGCAAAUCCUUAUAAAACACAUCAUUGAGAGUAUGCUCGGUGACAAAAAUGCUGAGCUGGUAUGAUUCUUUAAUCUUGUCAUGCUGCAUGAUAAGAAGCUUGUUGACAGCAGUCCAAGCUUUAACCAAGUCACCUAGGCUAUCUGAAAGAAGCUUCUUCAACUUUGAAUGCGCACCUUCAACUCUAUCAACAAAUAACAUAACAAUUAUCACAUAAAUUCACCAAAAAGCAAAGAUUAUUGAGGAAGGAAGCUAUAAUUAGUAACUACCUGUUUGUUGUUGUGCACCCCAUAUGCAUGCAGGUAUCAAUCUCGAACUUCACAAAUUUAUGUCUCAACGGCAACCAAUUGGUUUCAAGGUAUGGCCAUAAGUUACAUGCAUUCACCUGCAUCGCUGCAACCUCCUUAAGGUAGUCAGCCUCACUGUUAGCAUGCAUCAACCGAUUCCAGAUAUCAGUAAUAAAUACACGGGUUUCUAUCGACUGAAUAAGUGUCUUCAACUUCCCGGUCACACUCUUUGAAACGUGAAAUUGGCACAACAAAUGGCGAGCUGCGGGGAACACGUCUUCAAUGACUUUCAUUAAAACAGUGUCCUUGUCAGUGACAAUUACCUUAGGAAGAUUUUCUUCCUUCACAAUCAACCCUUUCAACCUAUUUAAUGCCCAUAACACCUCAUCUGUGCGCUCAUUCGCCAUGUAAGCAAAGGCAAUAGAGUAUGUCAAAUUAGUUGAUGUCACCCCAACCAUUUCAAGUAAAGGAAUUCUGUACCUGUUGGUCUUGUAUGUACUGUCCAUAAGCACCACAGUAGGAAAUUCAUUAAAAAGAUGAAUAGAAUCAGGGUGAGCAAAGAACAGAGAUUUAAUCACAUUAGAACCACCCUCAACCCUAGACCAAUAUGCGUAUUUGUCACCUUCCAACAACUUCAUCAAGUGUUGAAUCUCCGAAAAAGGUCCCCUCUUAAUCCUAUUGUAGGCUUGCUUCUCAUUGUAGAUUUGUUUGAUUCGAGUCAGAUUGUUGGGGUUUUUCUCCCUUAGUGCAAUCAACAUGUCGCUUGGCUUAACCCUUUUCUCAAUCAUACUUCCCACCAUGACCUUUUCAUCAGGAUUUAGACGACCAACAAAAGAGUGACCUUGUAAUGUUUCAGCUGAAUCAUGGUUGUGAAUCCCAGAAUGAACUAUCACCUUCCAUCGCCCAUCAACGCCGCCAGGCCUUGCUCUUAGCCUGAAAGGGCAAUCAGAUUUUUUUGUUCCAGUUUGACUGCGUUUUAACACUUUAGCCGCUGGUUUGUACUUCCCACCACGUUCACAUCCCAAUGUUAUCAAAGGCUUCCUUUUUGCAGAUCCGUAGUCAGACCUAAUCACAAUAACAACAUAACCAUUCUCUUUACCUACACAGCGAGCCCAAUCAAUAAGAUCAGUGUGGGAUGCAAAAGCCUGCACAUACAAAAAUUAUAAAUCAUUAUCUCAUCACAUAAACGUAUCUGCAAGUCCUUACUAAACAAUUUUAAUACUUACUUUAUCAGUAGUAAAGACCUUUGUGAGAUCCACCCUAACAACAAUUGUGCCAUCAUGUUCAUUAUCAACCUCAGAAGUUCCAGCUUCCAUAAUGCUCCUAAUAGACAACAAACUUCACCAAGUCAAACCCCUAAACCAGAACCUGCAACAAUAUCCGUAAUUUAAGUUUCUGUAACUUCCGCUAUCUUGAUAGCGGUAGUUACCGCUAUCUUAGUAGCGGUAACUUCCGCUAUCAAAAUAGCGGAAACUACCGCUACUAAGAUAGCGAAAACAAGACAACGUCCGCUAUCUUGACAGCGGAACGAACCAGAACCCAUAUAUUCUACCCAGAUUCACGAAAAAACAGUACAAAUCUUAAAAAACAAACCUAUUUUGAGCUUUGAUUCUUCCUUGAUCUCACCCACUUAUUUUCUACACUGAUUUGGAGCUUCAAAUACCUCAAAGGUGUGUGAUGUCUUGAUUUAGAAGAUGAAAUAGGGAUGGGGAAUGUGAGAGUGGAAGAGGAAGAAGGAAGAAGAAGGUGAGUUGUGAGAGUAUUUUUUUUUUUUUUUGCUACUUUGUAUGUUUUUUAUGUUGGGGGUAUUUUUGGGAUUAUAAAAAAAGGGGAUGGUGUGGAUAGUAAAGAGGGAUGGUACAAAUAGUCCCUGCCAUAAAAAAAUUAUUUAUUGUAAAUUUGUGGGCUUUUAAAGCCCAAAAACUUAGGGCCUAAAAUAUUAUUUUUUUAAAAAUGUUAUUGGUUACACAAAUUGGGUGAUUGAAAAAAAAACUAUGUUAGAAAAAAGUUAUCAAACAUUUUAAGAGAUGGUUUUUAUUUUUUAACUUUUUAUGCACCCUAAAAGUAUAAUGUAUACAUUUACACACUUUAAUUUUUAAAUAUUCUUUUUUUUUAUAUAUGUGAGCUACAAGCACUUUGUUUACACACUUUUUUCUGUAUAAAAAUAUAUCUACAACCAAUAGCCGUGAAACUAAUCUCUCGUCCGACCUUCAACGCACUAAUGAAGCUAACCAAUAAUUUUUUUUCGUUCACAAAAGUUAAGAAUCAAAACUCCAACUAAUUACUUAAGAGCAAGUAUUAAAUCAUUACUUUUGAUCACUCUUCCUAUAUCUCUUCACUUUCUACAUCACACAAUCAAUCAACAGACAAGAGAAACACAAUCAAUCAACUCACAAAGGCCAGAGAAAUAAGCUCUUACCAUAAAUACUAAUUCCGGAAAAGCACAUGCAUGAGAUUGUUUAAAUUGUAAGGAUAUUUUGAAAAUAUUUUUCUUUUGAUGGUAUGCAAAUAAUAAUUCUGGGUGUGUUCGCUAAGAAUGGUCUAGCUGGUCAAGUACAGAAGCAGCUAUCACUAACAACAUGGUGGGAGGGUGUUGUCUGAUGAUUAGGAAGCAUACACUCUUAAAUUUUAGUACUAAAUAAUCAGUUCUCUUUCUUGUAUUAUGCAUGUGGCAUGUUAUCUUGUCGAAUUUAUAGUACUAAAAUGCCCAUCCUUCCAAUAUAUAUCCAAAAAGAACCCCAUCUCCUUCUUCAAACAUAGCCCAUAUGCAUCUAUAUGUGAAACAGCAGUUGGUUGAGUAAAUAGGGAUUCAAAUAUACUCUGUCUUGUAUUGCUUUCAACAACAGAAAACUAACAUCACCAAUUAAACUUAGUAGUGUUUAGAGUAACCAUAUGAGUCGGCUGGAAAAGACUAAUCUAACAAUUUCUUAAGCAAAUAAUUACAUGAGAAAGAGACUUUGUUCUUCAAUGUACAGGUUCUAUAAACAAUUUAAAAAGCUUUUAGUGAUUUCUAUUGAGAGGGUGAAGAUGAAGUAUGACUAAAUAACUAAGGGAACAACAAAAGUGGAUAAACAAAUGCUUAAACGACUGAAAAUAAAGACCGAAAGGCGAUAAAGAAAAUUGGAAUAAAUUAAAGUGUUUUAAAAGUAAAUGCGGGAAAGUAAAUGACAAAAGGUGAAUGCGAGAAUUUUAUAGAUUGUAAUGAUAGUUUGAGUUGUGUGUUAUUUACAAAUGUCUCUCUCAUAUUUAUAUGAAGCAAUUCGGCUAACUACAACAAUUGAUAUACAUUCAACCACUAACUCACGUUAUGCUUCCUGCAAGUUUUUAUAAAUCGUGGGGUGUUAAUGUUUUAACUCUCCUAAUUUUGCUAAGUCGCUCCUUCUCACAUCAGCUGGUUCAACAACAAGAAAAUAAUAUUUCAUAUUAUAAAGGAACUGAACAUAUGGGUAUUUUUCACAUGAAGAUAUUCUAGAAGCCCCAAAAAUAUCAUUUUCCUUUAUGCCCAAGCUUUUGAAUUUGUCCAUAAACCUUAUCUAGAUACACGCUCGUCUUCGUUUAAUCGUUCGAACACAUUGCAAUAAUGAUUAACCUCAUGCUUUUGACUUUCCUUCUAAUGGUUAGUUCCUAUGCUAUGACUAACUUGUCUUUUCUACUGCCAAAGUGGUUGUUACAAUUUUUAUGUGCCAACACGUUGUCCCCCAUGCAUUCUUGACUUAUUCGUUACAUGUUGAAUCAGAGUAUAAAUCUCAUCUCCAAUCCCCUAGAAACAAGAAAACAUGCUUGAUCAUUACUUUUAAAUUUCUGCUACCCACGACUUUGAAUCCCUUAUUAGUUUGUUGCCCCUAUUUCUGCUAGUCCUCCUCGAGCAAUUUUAUCCUCUAGAUAUUGCUUCAUCGUGAGCAUGUCGUCGUUCUUUCGGUUUUCCCCUACUUCUUGUUUCGAUUAUCAUGCAUGUCAGACAACAACAACUCUCAAAGCCACAAAAAUGGGGUAAGUCUCGGCAGGAGCUGAGUAGCAAAAAGUUACAAUGCCUAAUUUGAGAAUACUUAAACUUAGCACCAUGCUAGCAUUCGAGAGCAUGAACAAGUUGCGACGCACUUAGAACAACUAAAUGGGGAGCUGGAACGGAUCCAAAUUGAGAUUGGCCUUCUUCAGGCAAAGCGAGAUGGUUGCUCGGGUCAAUGAUCACGCCUCGAGAAAACUAGGCUUAGACCCGAGUCACAACGCUGGACGACAAAGAAAUUAUUUCCUUACAACAACGACAUAAAUUCCUCGAACGAGAUUAUUAUCAGGGGAGGAGCAUUGAUGCGGCAAAAGCAACCUGGCACGGUUUCUAAGAUCAGAUUACAUGACUGACGCAACAAACAACGAAGAAGGUUCAGGCGAUUUAAGUAGCGACUAAUCCUCUUUCGCGUGUUAAGGUUUAUAGUUAGGUAAACUGCUUGUGGGUAUCAUGGACAAAAUUUGCAUCCUCCCAUAAGAAGGAUGAUACUUUUUUAAGUGUUCCGCGUUGAUGCUUUUUUUUCCAAUUCACCCCUGUUUCAAAUAUCAGCCUGUGUUAAUCGAUCUACUCUCAAGUUGAGUUAACCGGAUACCAAAACAUGUUAAUCUAUUAAACAAACUUGUUGUACGAUUUUUGUAUGAAAAACCUAUAAAACUCAAUUUUAAAGCAUUCUUCCUUGGGUUUCUAACUCUUUUAAGUUUAAAAACACUCCACUAUAUUAUUAUUAAGGGAUACUUUAAUUGAGAUUAUAGAGCAACUACCAUAAAAUAUAAUGCGUUCCAUCGUAAAUGAAAACCUAUAAAGUAUAAACUUGCAAGCAUCUAAUAUAAUUAUUACAACUUCAACCUUGAGAUUUUCAUUCAUUUUUCUUCUUUAUAGUGCCUGAUGUUAUCAUCAAAACUUUGCUAGAGUCUAAAGGAGAGCACUUUUUCAAGGUUCGUUUGGUGUCAAAGAGUUAUACCCAACUUGAGGACCUUAAUUAUUUUGAGACUUUUCAGUCCAAUUGCAAAACUAACCAUAGUUUACAUUCUCUUGCUUUAACUUCUACAUAGAGUUGGCAGUUUUAUCAACUUGAUGUUAAUAAUGCAUAUCUCUCCAUGGUGGCUUGCAAGAAUAGUUGUUUAUGUCCUUACCAUCUGGAUUUUGUCCCUCUCGACCUCAUUUGGUUUGUAAAUUCCAAAAAUCUCUUUGUGGGUUAUAGCACAUCGAUCCCAUCAAUGGUCAAUGGAAUUUUAAGCUUACCAUCGCCCUAAUUUCUCUUAGUUGUGCUCAAUGUUCUUCUGGUCACUCAAAUUAAGAAUCCCAGAUAUGUAAAUUUUUCUUGGGCAAGUCAUUUGUUCUCUUAACAACAUCAUUCUUAAUCAUAGUAAAUAACUGUUAGAAGAUUAUUUUACUAAUUCGUGGUUUGAAAACAACUAAAUAUUGCUAAUGUUAAUUGAAAAAACUUAAAAACCAAUUAAAACGUAAGAAGGCAGAAAUAUCUUUGAUGUAAUAAUUGGUUAUAUUAUAGAGAAAAAUGAUUUCAUUUGGUAUAAAAACUUAGAAAUAUGUGUCACAAUAUUAAAAAUAAAAACAAAUCUACAUGAGAAGGAAAUCAAUAAGUGUUUUAUAUACACGUGUAUAUGUGAUGUCUAUUUGAAUUAUAGCACAUGGAUCAUGAAGAUCUCAUAAUUAUAUACUUCCAUCAUAUAUAAUUAGCUUUACAUUUAUUGGAUCAAUAAUUGAUUGAAAACCAAGUGAUUUUACUAGCAAUAGUAGUCUCAAUCUGUUCUCUGUUCUGUAUACACUAGCUGUGAUGGGAGUCAACACUCAACUCAACUCAACUCAACUCAUCACAUUAGAGAUGGAUCUUGGGGAUGUCCUACUCCAUGGAGGUUGAUUCAUAAUUAGAUCAGAUCACAUAAUAUCAUUAAGUGAUUUUAUUAGCAAAUUAUGAGUCUCAAUCAAUUCAACAAAGGAGAAAAAAAGUGAGAUAUUUAAUUCUCUGUUCGAAUAAAAUCAAAAUCUAAUAUCAUUAUCUUUUAUGAAAAAUUGAAGUAUCUAGAUUUAAAUUAUACAUUAGAUUGAUGUGGACAGCCAUAACCAGGGUAGCCCAUCACAUGGGGUUCCAGUGUAGGGAUUCUAUUUCACAUGACUAUGCUACAUUGCUACCUCACUCAACCACCAAGGCAAAUCCUGCUAAGAUCUGUACAUUAUGUUAUGUGGCCACAUUCUCUGUUUUUUUCACAAUUCAGAAUUACAAUGCCUUUAUAUGAAAACUUUCUAAUGUGUGUUUAUGUUGUAAUUUUGUGUCAAUUUCUCAUUUCUUAUGAAUUAAACCGGUGAGAGAGCAUUUUAAUAUUAAAUUGACAUAUGUAAUAUUUCAGUUAAUUAAUAUUAUCAUGGAACAUAAGAGAAUCAUAUGUAUUAUCCGCAUUCUAGUUCUUGUAGGGUCUGCUGAAUAAAGUUGUUGUUGCUAGGAUACAAAACCACCGAACCAAAUAACACUGACAGGCCCAGUUGGUGUAGUUUCCGAUCAUGUUUUUCAGUGAGGGAAAGAAAAUAAUUCAGAUCAUCAAGUAGUGCAUACUGCCUAGGGUAUACUUGCUUCAAAUAAAGGUUUUGUUCUUCUUUGUCUCCUCAAUCAUGGGGCUCUUGUGCACUGAUGUAACAUGUUCAAAAUCCUCAAUUCGGAUAAGAACUAAGAAGUAAUUAAGAACAUCAUCGUUGUGUUGUGAAAAUGGAAAUUGAAUUGAAGUAGUACAAGUCAAACUGAAAACCGCACUUUUAGUUCUAGCUGUGUCAUUGUAGCUAGUGCCUGUCUUUAGCUAUUUAUUACUGCGAUGUAUAUCGUGACCCUGCCCAUCGUUGUUGUGUUGUUUUAAUGUGAAGCAAUAAAAUGCAGGUAACCAGGCAAUAAAAGCUUGAGUCUGACUGUGAUCAUGGAUAAAGUGAAUAAAUUUAUUGAAAACAUAAUGCUUCAGCUUAAACUCUUAGCCUAUGAUUUGUUUUUGAAAUUUUUAAACACAUCCCCUUAAAUUUUAACUUUUAAGUAACCACAAUAUUAAAACUAUCCGUUGAACAACAACACAAAUACAGAUUAUCAGAGGGGAGAGAAACACACAAAAGUUAUGAUCACGCAGUUCAGUCAAAUUGCUUACGUUUGCGAUUACAUAAUAGUUAUAAUUUCGUUUUAUUGAUUUGUUUUGAAUACAAUAAUUAGAGUUCAGUGUUACAAGUCUAUUUAUAAGAGAUACUAUAUAAUGAUUCAGGUUACAACAAUACUUUGAACCGUUAUGUGACAUCACCCCUUCCCACUUGACAUUACCAUGAACCAUAGUCAACACUAUCACUACAAAAAUUAUUAACUACUAACUAGGUCGAUCACACCUAUUGGAUAUUGGAAAAAUUAAUCGCAUUUAGUGAUUAGUUAUAUAUAUUUAUCACAUGCAUUUUUUGUAUGUAGACCACUAGGUAGUUACCCAUCGCACGGUUGCUGUUUUGUUUUUUUAAAAAAUAUAUAUUGUAUCUUAUUAUAAAAUAUAUUACAAUAUUAAAUACAUUUUAUUUACAUAUUAAUGGUCAAAUUAGUCACUGAGUUUGUAAGCGAAGUUGAUUUUAGUCCUUUUGCGGAAAAAUGACGUUUAAUAACGAUAAUUUUUACAAUUACUGGUAGUUUUUUACUGUUACUAAACGUCAUUUUUCCUCAAAGAGACUAAAAUCAAACUCGCUUACAAACUCAAUAACUAUUGGACUAACGACCAUUAACCCUUAAUUUUAAUACAACGGAUUUUUUUUAGAAGAAACCAUUAUAUUAAUUCUCUAAUGUUUAGGAAAAAUAAUUUCUACAAAAUGAAAAUAACUUAUAAUAGUUAAAAUCAUCUUUCUAUUUAAAUUUAAUGAAACAAAAUGAGAGAUACAUUGAGAGGAGUAAAUCAAAAUCGAAAUAGCAUCAGUAGCUCCGCCUCACACAAUUUCACACAUUUUCUUCAGGUGUUUUUUUUCAUUUGUUUCUCCUUUUCUCCAUUUGUUCCUGCAUUUCUCGCUUUGUUCAUCAAAAUUAUGUUAGAAGUUUCACUUUUCAUCUCCCACCCCACUGUGAAAAUAAGGAAAUGUUUGAAUUGAUUUGAAGGGUUUUUAUGUCACUAAGUUCUUGGUUUGUCGUGUUAAGUAUGUUUGAUUAUGUUAUGCUCUAUUAGUGUGUCAGACCAUGUUCAUUGUUUUCUAUGCGGUUUGACUCAAAUUCAUUCAUAUGAAAAUCAACAACAGCGUCACUCACAUGUUUCUUACAAGCUUGAAUUGAGAUUUAACUGUGGAAAUAAGUAUCCCAAGACAUUUGAAACAAAUAAAUAAAUUUGAAUGUAUCUAUGUUAUGUGAAACAAAGGUAACUUUUAAUAGUAAACCUGACUAAAAUUGCAUCCUGAUACUAUAAAUAUGACUCAAAAACAUUAAAUGAUGUUAAAGGCAAAGAUAGUUAACAAAUGCAGAGACCACAAUGUGCACGAGUCUAGACAAGGCUAUUCUCUAUCAUGUCUGGUUUUAUAGUAUCACCAUUCCAUCAAAUUUCCCCAAGUAUUAUCUGUAUAGAACAAAUAGACUAUGAAUUUCCAAAGCAUGCACAACACGAGUACUAUAUCACAUUCAUGCCGGUGGAAAGAACCUCCACAAUGUUUGCUUAAUACAAAAACAGAGAAAACCAGAGCUUAAAACUAAUUUUCUGUGACAAUUGGAUCAGCUCUAAGAACUUGAAUCGGAGUCUCCUUAUUGAAUUUAAGGGAUUUGGCUUUCGUAAAGAAUCUGAAAAUUCUGUAGCAGAGCUGUCUUUGCUGUUCUUUAGACACUUUGGCUUCAAAGAAAUGUUAGAAAUUUCAGGGGCACUUAGUCAUCCCAAGACAACAUUUGAAAUAGGGCCACUUUCUUGGCCUAUUAUUGGUGUUAUGUUCAUGGAUUUUUUAAAGGUGUUUCUUUGUUAAACAUGCAGAGAGAUUGGCAUGCCUUGGGGUGUAUCAUCAUUCUAUACACUGCCACCGUAAAAGUAGAGCAUCAUCAAGUUUGGGAAGAACUUAUGGCAUGGUUAGAGCAAACGUGAAGCCACUUCCGUAGUAAACUCUGAUUGAUGCAGCUUCAUUCAGAUCAUACCCGAGACUUACUGUAUCAGGACUGAUCCUGUCACAAGUAUCUCCCAAGCCAAGUUGACCAUGCUCACCCCAACCCCAUGUCUUUACUUCUCCAUUCUCUAUAAAUAAGUAAGAAAGUAUGCUUAAAUAGAUGAAGAAGAUAAAUUAUAAUGGUUUUAAACUAUCAAAAGUAUGCUUAAAAGUUCAGUUGUCCUCAAAAGUAAAAUUAGAUACCAGAGAAGAUGAAAAAAACAUGAAAAGUAGUCAGAAAAGGCAAAUAAACACAUAAAGCACGAGUCAGGUUGCAAGUAUGAGUGUGGGUGCAUGACAAUUCAGUCACUGUAUUCACUGAUGUUGAAGCAUGAAAAUUGCUAGAUGACUCUAGAUUUGAAAACAGAACAUUAUCUGAAAGCUUAUCAGAAAACUCAACAUUUCCAUCAUCCAUAUUUUGUUUCUUUACCUUGAACCAAAGUUAGCUGCAAUCUACCAAAAGAAGCACAUACUGAUGGAUAGACAAACUGAAAGUGAAAAUGAAAUUGAAAGAAAAAACAAAGAAUCCAAAUAUAUCAGAUAUAUGACAAGACAAACUGGUACCAGGACCUAUUAUGGAAUAUAUUCAAAGAAUUGAAUUUGAAGCAUAUACCUAGAACAAAAACAGUAAAAAAAAAUCAUUUGAGGACUCCUAAACAAGGAACAUAUAUGACUGAACAAUUGGUCAUAGGGUGAAGUCAAAUUUCAUGCUCAAAUUGAGAUGUUUGGGGGGUUUGGGGCUGUAAAUAUUCUCAAAGCAGCUUAAUUAAUUGAAGAAACUAAAGGAAACAAUAAUAUGAGGAGGAAGAGAGAAUCCAAGUUCAAGUGGAGGCAAGACGACAGAGCAUGAUAUAUAGCAGCAAAAAAAAAAUUCAUUUACGAAUAAAUGAAAGAGCCAAUAAAGAAGCAUGAGAGUGGGAUAAUUCAUCUAAUUUCUUAUUCAAUUAGAGAUGAAUGAUGAGAGAAUUCAUUUAUCAGAUGACAACCAUGAGCAUGAUGGUUUUAGAGUGGUUUCUAGAAUGUCUAGCUUUUAGCUCUGAGAAAUUACCUGAGCAUCCAAAACACCAUAUGUUGCAUAAGAGUCUGGUGAUGUAAGGGAGGAGCUCCUUGACUAUUGAUGUAUGUGUGCCAGAUUGCAAGAUGGGGAAAAUCUUCUCCCAUUCCAUAGGCAGUCACUCUCCUUCGAAGUACCACCUCGCUCCGGUUUUGAUGGCCACACCCAGCCAUCAAAACCCCACCUUAUCACCACCAAAACACGAGAGUAAUAGGUUAUGAACAAAAAGCUUCGAAUGUGGUUAGAUCAGUGGUUACUGUUGGCAACUAUGAUAAUGUAAUGGACUGGGAAUUCAAGCCAAGUGGUUUAAUUAAACCUGCGGUAUGUUCUGUUUCCUUACAUUACAUGUUACUUUUAAUCAUAUUUGUCAUAUAUAGGCAACACUUCUAUUUAAUAUGAGGCCUUAACUUAAUUCUAUGUGAUUUGUGAAGAUAUCAUUAUCAGGCAUGUUGGAAAUUAAGGCAGUGGAUAUUAAGCACACAGAUGAGAUAAAUGAGGAUCAACAUGGAACUUUAGUGUCAGAACAGAGCAUUGGUGUUUACCAUGACCAUUAUUACAUUUACAUAUACCAUCUUGAUCUUGAUGCAGAUAGUGUGGAUAAUUCCUUUGUCAAGACCAAUUUAAAGACUGUGGAAGUUACAGACAACAGUUCCAAGAGAAAGAGCUAUUGGACAAUUGAUACUCAAAAUGUUAAGACUGAAUCUGAUGCAAAAAUAAAGCUUGGGUUUAGCCCUUCUGAGCUAGCAGUGGUGAAUCCUAACAAAAAGACCAUUACAGGAAAUGAAGUAGGGUACCGUUUGGUUCUAGGUGGGAUUAAAUAGAUGAAGAAGAAAAGUUAUAAUGGUUUUAAACUAUAAAAAAGUAUGCUCAAAAGUUCAGUUUUUCUUCAAAAGUAACAUUAGAUAUUAGAGAAGAUGAAAAAAAACAUGAAAAGUAGUCAGAAAAGUAGAAAAGUGGUGAAAAGGCAAAUAAAGUUGAUUACCAGUUUACCACCAACUAAAAUAACAUAAAGUAACCACAUAAUAAGCUUAAAAUAGACCUUCAUUACAUGGGAGAAAAAGAAUAGUGGAAAAAAUGCUUCCCCUUUGUAGUAGUUAUAUAUAUUUUCAUAAUUUAAUAUUAAGUCUUAAAACUAUCCCAUAUUAUAAAAUAAUUUAAAUUGUCAAAUUUUCCAUGAACACCUACAAAAUAUAAAAAAAAGGAACUUGAUCAAUGAUUUUCCCAUUUUUUUUUGGAACAUAAUCAUUUUCUCUAACUAAAAAAUAUGUAUCCUAGAUCAAAUGAUUAUUAAUCUCAAUACUUAAUUUCAUAAUUUUUUAUUUCUAUUAUUUAGACACACAAUUAUUAAUUUCGUAUCAUAUAUCAAAUUAAUAAUAAUCUCAAUACUUAAUUUCAUAAUUUUUUAUUUCUAUUAUUUAGGCCUACAAUUAUCUAUACUAUCAAUUUUUUUUUAAUACUCUAUACUAUCAAUAUUAAUAUCCACAUAAUAAAUAUUAACAAAUAUCAUCUAUUAAAAGAAUUAUUACAUAGAGCUAAAAAUAAACAAUAUGAAAUUAUUUCCAUCAAAGUAAAUACAAACAAGAAAUAACUUUUGAAGCAUAACCUAAUAAUUUUAAAACUUCAAUUUAAACCAAAUAAAAAACCAAAAAGUAACAAAAAAGUUUCCUUAUGGUGCACCUUAGCAACAUUUAUGAAAAACCCUAAUGUGAAUAGUGGCAAAAAUGUUAUCCCUUUGUAGUAAUUAUAAUUAUAGAUUCAUGAGUCUGGUCUUAUUCCAACCACAUAGGAAUAGGAUAGCUAUGAAUAGUAAAUAUGUCCUUGCAAGUGUAUGCGACAGGGCCAAGUAUAUAAAUAAAUUUUGGAAGAACCUAAUAUGCACCAUUUUUAGGUAGUGUAAUUUUACACCACCUACUUUGACUUGGUAUAGCAGGUCAACACAUUAUAUUUUUUAAGAAAAAACAUCAUUAAAAAUUUGUCAUAUAUUAAAUAUUUUUAAAAAAAGAUGUGUUGACCUGUUAUAGUAUGUUAAAAAAAGUGGUCUAAAAUUAGACCACUUUAAAAGUGGUCCGACAUUAGGGGUCACCCUAUAAAUUUUCACUAUACACAAGUUAAUAUAAAUCAAUAAUAUGUAUCUAUUUAUGCAAUGUCACUGCAAAAAAAUAAUAACGACAAUUAUUAUUGCUUUUAACGGCGACAAAAAUGACCACUAAAGCUUUUACCAACGGCGUCAUCAGUAAAAACUUUACGGGCAAUUAGACUGAACGUCGAUAACACAUGUGAAAGUUUUGUCCAAUGGAGGUAAUGGAUAUUUUAUUACUUUCAUUUAUGACUUUAUUAGGAAAAAUUAUGAGUUUAUUUUAUGAAAAUAAAUAAAUUAGGUGCAUGUGACAUGCGCAAAAAGUUUUAUGGCAUAUAUCAAAGAUAAAAGUAAUUGUACUUUAGAAACCUUAAUAACUGAUAUCAGAAUAAAGUACAUUGUUUAUGAUAAUUCUUGAGAAAUUAUGGAGUUAAGCACCAAAUGGAUUCAGAUACACUCCUCAAUAAAAAGGAGUGGCAGAAAGAAAGAAUAUAACCAUUAUAAAUAUGGUGAGAAGUAUGUUAAUUUGUAGUGUACCCUAUCAAAAGUGAAUAUAUGUGAUAAAACUCCACAAGAAGCAUGGAGUGGGAAAAAGACUAAUCUUAGUGAUCACUUGAAAGUAUUUAUCGUAUUUCUUAUAUAUGAUAUUACCUGAGAUGAAAAUAUUAUUUAAUAUGUCUUAUUAUGAUCCUGUGACAUAUAUAUAUAGAUGAUUGUUGGAUUAAAGCAAUGGAUGAAAAAAAAAAAAAUUGAGAAGAAUGACACAUGAGAGUUAAAAACACUUAUAGAACGAAAGAGCCCAAUUAGUGUGAAUGGGUGUACAAAACAAAGUAUAAUCCUAAUGAAGAGAUAAAUCGAUUGAAGUCACAAUCAUGAAAAUUAACAUUCUACAAUACUAAAAUUAACCAACUCACAACUAAAAUAGUUAUUUAAUCUUAAAAGUUAAUUUCUUACUUUCUUUCAAAUUUCAAUGAUCAUUUGGGCCUUUUGACUAUUUGUGUAAUGGACCAAUCCCAGAGCUGCUACCAAAGACAUUACUAUUGUUUGUUCAAAAAUUAUAUUCACCCUUCUCACCUAAUAUAUGACAUUAUCUCGUGGUGAUUUGAACACUGCGCGUGAUAACCUAAGACCACCGACACUCCCCGUGUGAUACCAAACCAUAGUCACAAGACACUUUGUGGGACUACGUUAUGUUAUGCGUUCUAAAAUUAACAAAAAGUAAGGGUUAAAGAAUGAAAAAGAAAAGGUCAUAAUGGGGGCUUUUAUUAAAAAUAUGAUAAAAAUACAGCAUUGAAGAAAUGUGCUGUUUUCUAUCGGAUUGCAUUGACACCGCGUGUUUGAAUCAAUGUCAUCCCGAUUAAAUUUGAAUAAAAUUAAUUUUAAUAAAGUCAAUUAUAUUAAGAAUGAGUUUGUAAAAAAAAUAUUAAGGCUAUGUUUGACAUGUCAUUUCAGCUAGCUUAUAGUUUAUUUGACUAGCUUAUAGUUUAUUUGACUAGCUUAAAAGCUCUUUAAAAGUGUUUGGUGAAGGAGCUUAUUUCAGUAGCUUAAAGCUUUAAGCUAUAAGCUAUCUCAGGUAGCUUAUAACUUAUUAAAUUUAUUCUCAUUUUUAUCCUUAUUAUUUUAUUAAAAUUUCACCAUUACCCUUAUAUAUUUAUAAAAACACUAAACCUAUUUUCCUCAUCACACUUACGUAUGCCAGUUCCCGCCACCAUUUCCGCCACACCGCUGCGCACCACAAGUAUUAAAAAUAUUACAUUAAUAAAAACAAGUAAAAAUUAAUAUUAUAUUUUUAAGAUGAUAAAUAACUUGAGUUAAUAAAAAUAUUUAAAGUGAUAAUAAUUUUAAUAUUAAUAUUAUAUAGGUAUUAAUGUGAAAAUAAAGUAAUGUUAAAUAUAAAAAUAAUUAUAUAAGUAUUUCCUUUUACAAUUUCAGCUUUUUUAACAGCUAGUUUUACCAAACACUUUUGUUUCAAUUAUGUAGCUUUUCAGCUUUCAGCUAUCAGCUAGCUUAUAAGCUUUCAGCUAGCUUUUCAGCUUUCAGCUAGCUUAUCAGCUAAACAUGUCAAACAUAACUUAAGAGUAAGUUAAAUAUAAGUUUGUAAGUAAUGUAAUUUAUAUUUAAAUACUAGACUGUUUAGAAUUAUUUGACUGAUCGAGUUAGGAAUGUUCUGGCGGAAUUUUAGCUAGCAAACUAAGCAUCCGCCUAAUUAGCUAGCCGCUUAUUAAGAAUGAUGUCUAGCUAGAUUCGUCCUUUUAUCUUUCCCCUAGCUUGCCCCGAGUGUAAUUGUGCGAUUCUAUCUCUCCACAUAAUUGUAAUUGAUUUCACUUUAAUUAACAUGCAUUUGAGGGACUCCUGACUAUAUACCUUCUCAUUUGGUAUAAUUAUGUUCACUUGAGAAUUCUUAAGGCAAAACAUUCUAUCAUUUUGUUCGACUUUAUAUUUAGGGUUUUUUCGUGAACAAAUAUAUUUAUUAAAAAAUGAUUUCUAUAGAGUAAUAUUAUGAAAACUCAGUAGUAAAAUCAUGUAUUUAAUGAAGAAGUUAUUCUCUAUCUUUUGUUGAUUUGAGACCGAGCACAUGUUUGGAUAGGCGGACAACGAUUGAAAAUUACGGUGAAGUUAAAAUCACAAUGAACAAUUAUAAAAUCUAAGAAAAAUUACUUCUGACUAUUGUAAUUUUGAGUUACUAUAAUUUUAUUGUGUAUUCAAACAUAUGUAGAAAUUAAUUUACUAAUAAGAACUCCACCACCAUGUUCUAGGUUUGAGUAAAAGAGUCAAGCACACAUGGCUAAUAUACAGUUUGUAUCAUGUACGUGUUGCAUUCAUAAUUUCCAGAUCCACCAUACUUGGCUCUGUUGUCUUGCUGUCCAACUUUCCAUGUAAAGCCUGAACAAAGUCAACGGUAGCAAUACAUGAAAAUUAAUCAAAAUAUAUGGACCAAAAUGAAAAAAAGAAAAAAGAAAAACUUUGAAUUAGAUAGAAAUUGAGUUCAUACUUCAUACUGAUAUUGUCAUCAACCUUUAAAGACGGCAUCAAUGAAGGAACAAAAUUUUUGUCACCUAAUGCCCACUACUAUCAGACGAUCUAGCUUGACUUUAAUGACUACAAAAAAUUGAAAUUUGUAGUGGUUUCCCCGUUUAGCAAGAUAAACUAGAUAAUUACAGAUACAUUGCACACAAACUAUAUGGUAUAUAUAAUAAAUGAUAAUUCAUAUAUAGAUCAUAAAUUUUUCAAAAUGUCGUUGAAUAUUGGUUCUAAUUAUAAAUUCAAUGUGUGAAGACUACUCUGUUUUUUUUUUUUGAAACAGAAGACUACUCUUUUAUAGUUUAGUCCUGUUUGAUUCGUAUAUCAUGUAUCAUGUUCAGAUUAGAAAAUCCAGAUGCUGCUGAUGGUGCUGGCCAAGUUAUUUAUUAAGUAAUUCAAACUGAUGAAUCUCACAUUGAAUUAUUUGUGCGCAAUAAUUUUCCCAUCUUAGUAAGACUGUGUCCAAAUGCUUUUAUUUAUAUGAUACAUAGACAGAUAUUUAAGUACUAGUGAGUACUAAAACAUAACUCGAGGACAUGUUAGUGCCGGACAUGAUGCUGAUUGUUGAAGACUACACGUAUCUAUCUUUUGGUUACAUUUGGAACCACACGUAUCUAUCUAUGUAGUAUUUUAUUAAAUUUAACUGUAAUUAUUUAUUGUAAGCGAUUGUCAUUUUAGUUAAUUAAAAUUCAAUUCAGAAAAUAUCAACAACAAUUUUUAAAACUAUUAUUUCAUUUAAAAAGUUUUAAAUAAUUUAGUUAUGAAUUACUAUUUUAUUAAUUAUGCUUAAUUUGUUCGAAAGCAAAAAAAAUUGUAUUCAAUAAUAGUCGAGAUACAAAUCUCUUGACAAAGAUUUAGUACGCAAACAAUAAAAACAAAGUGUGUAAAUCAAUCCUACACAACAAUAAAAACAAAAACGCAAAGCCCUAGAAAAGAACCAAAAUCCCAUAUAAAAAUCAAACAAGAUCCAAGAAAGAAUUUAUCCCAACGAAAUACCUAAUAUUAAAAACAUAACAUUUCAAGCGCAACAACAACAACAACAACUUCAUGGCCAACUCUAGUAGUAACGAUCAUCGGAGGAUCACGCAUACGCUCUGCCCAAACAGACCAGUCUCUCGUACAAGAUCAAAGAAAGAGUUGUUGCUAUCACAAACUUGAAACUCAUGGUCGAAAUGCCACUCAAAGACCACAAACCAUGUAUCUUCAACAUGUACAACAUAGUCAAAUGGACCCUGGAACUUCACCGUCGCAUACCUAUCAUUUUCGAAUCCACAAUCGCAUACCUGGCCAACAACAACUGUUCCAUCCUCAUCAUCCAUAGAGAAUCGACCUUCAAUCAAAUUGAAGAAAUCCAAAAUAAAAACAUAACAAAACAAAAAUAAAACAAUAAAAAAAAUCAAUCAAGAGACAGAGAUGUGUAGGAUCAAUCAUGUGGUAUUUCAACAGGUUGUAUAAUUAUUGGGCAAGGAAGAGAGAUGAUGAGUAGGAGGAGGGAUAACACAAGGGUUUCCGUUUAGGAAGUUUGCUAGUAGAACUUCCUGUCGUGAUGGCGACGAACAAUCAGAGAGAUGUUGAGGGCAGCCGAAUGAGACGAGAUUGAAUCGACGAAGAAGAUCCAACAUGUCAAGGCAAGCCACUACGCCCAGGAGAAGCCAUCUCCAACAAUGGAAAUAAGAACAAAUAAUGAAUCUGGGGAGCAUACAAGCGCACGAUGACGAAUGAGACUUGAUGGUUGGAAGGGAGAAACCCUAGAGAAUGACUAAUAUAGUGGCGACUUCAGAAGAUAAGAUCGAUGUGCACCAUCACGUUGAGCAAGGAGUGAUAUUGGCUCCAUUGUUGAGAACAUAAAAGGCACGAACUUGGCUCACUAUCAUUGAUGAUGUUGAUCAGAGUGGAAAGGCUCUAAUGUCGCCACUGCAAUCGUUGAAGAAGAUCGAAGAAGAGGCAGGCAUGACAAUGCCAUGGUUGGAUCAACCUGUUUCAAACGCACAACAGGUGUGAAGCAAAGAAUCAGAUCUAAGCACUGAGUGAGUCUCGAAAUAGAGAAACAGCGCAAAUAAGAGGGCAAACCAGGGGCUGCAAAUUUCCCAACACAACAACAGGAGGAACGGUGCGACAAUCAACAUGGGCGACGAUGUUGGACUGCAGAGGUGGUAGCGCUAGGGUGGAAGAAGGAUCUUUCCUGCAUACCUUAGCAGGGCACCAAAUGUAGGUAAGUAUGUAGUAAUGUUUUUUUUGAAACAAGUAUGUAGGAAUUGUUAUUUAGUCAUGUUAUAAUUAUGCUAUAUUAUUUGAUAAAACCCAAAGAAGUAACCUUAUUCAUGGAUUAACGCACGAGUUUAUUUACAAUAAUUUUUAACAUUAUACAAAAAUUAGUAUAGUUUAAAUAAAUAAAUAUUUUAUAGUUGAGGACCACAUUUGGCGUGGCUGUGUUUUGGUAGCUCACAUGGGGUUUUCUUGUCACCAUGGCAUUUUUAUUCUCUGAAUAAAUUGGUUUUGUGCUGUAAAAAAAUCAUCGAAGUUAUUUUAACAAUUUAAUAAUAUACCUUCAAAAAAAACAAUUUGAUAAUAUGAUUUAUAAAUCAAUGGAUUUAUAAUAUUUUAGAUCAAGAAAUUAAUUUUUAAUAACAUCAAAUGAUAUAUAAUAACAUAUUUUUAUCAAAGUAACUGUAACUUUUAAAAUUAUAAUAAUUUAUAACUUUCAAUAGUGUUGAAUACAAUUUGGUUAUAUAUUUUAACUUAAUUUUCCCCCUCAAUUUAUAAAUGGUAACUAAUAUUCUAACUAUUUUAGUUAAUAUUAAAUAAUUUUUUCACCUGUUAUUAAAUAUUUUUUUAUUUGUAUAAGAAACUGAAAAGUUGAUAGCUAAUAGUUAAUAAAAGGGUUAGUCUCUGGUUUUGUAAGCGAAUUUGACUUUAGUCUCUCGGUGAAAAAAUGACAUUUGGUGGCGGUAAUUUUUAUAAUUCUUGACAAUUUUUUACUACCACUAGACGUCAUUUUUUUGCCAAGUGACUAAAAUCAAAUCGUUAACUAAAUCAAAGAUAUUUGACUAUUAACCCUUAGUAAAAUUAAUAAAAAAUAUUUAUCAAUAAUUUAUUAUUAUUGUUAUUAAGACAAAGCUCAAGUGAAAAUGUUCAGAUCAAGUCAAUUAGUAAUUUUUCCUCAAGUUGUGACUUAUCACUAGCAUUUAAAUUAUAUUAAUUUUUUUUGGGAAGUAAAUUAUAUUAAUUUUAAAUAUUAGAAAUUUAAUUUUUACAAUUAGUAAGGAAUACAAUGAUUAUUAUAAAAAACUUAAUUAAUAAAUAAUAUUAUUUUUUAAUGUGAAGGUCAAGUCAAUAUGUAAUUUUUCCUCAAGUUAUGAUUAAUAAUUAUAAUUUAAAUUAUAUAGAUAUUUAAUUGUAAAUGUAUAAAUUGAUUUUUUUUAAUUAGUAAUUGAUAUAAUGAAUCAUAUGAAAGGGUAUUAAUUACUAAAUAAAUUUGUUAUUAAUGUGAAGGUCAAGUCAAUUUUACUUUUACUUAUUAAUAUCAUUAGUUUUUAAAAAAAAUAUAUUUUUUUUGUUUCAAUUGAAACGUUAAUAGUAAUAAUUUUAAAUAUGAGAAUUUUUUUUAACUAUUAGUAAUUAAUAUAAUGAAUAACAUAAAAGGUUAUUGAUAACUAUAUAAUAUUGUUAUUAAUGUGAAACAGUGAAAGUCAAGUCAAAUAGUAAUUUUUCCGAAAGGUGUAAUUAACAAUUAGAAUUUAAAUCUUAUUAAUAUUUAAUUUAAAUAUGAGAAAAUAAUUCUUUUACAAAUAGUAAUCAAUAUAACGAGUAAUAUAAACUAUUAUUUAUAACUAACUAGUAUUUUUAUUUUUUAAAUUUUUUUUCUCAAGUUUUCAUUUUUAAUUGAACCUAAUCAUUAUAUUUAAAUAUGAGAAACUAAAAAAUGUUACAAUUAAUAAAUAAUAUAAUAAGUUUAAAAAAAUAAUUAAUAUAAUAAAUAACAUAAAUAUUAUUAAUAACUAGUUAAAAUAUUAUUAAUGUAAAGGUUAAAUAAAUUUUAAUUAUAUAUUGAUUGAUUGAUAUUCAUUCGGAUAACAUUAGUCUUAUAGAAUAGGAAAAAGUUAAAUCAUUUCGUAGAAUAAAUCAUGCAUAUCGACUACAGCAAUUACAUUUCUUGCAUUUAACAAAUUUUUAUACUCCAUUUCAAAAAAAAAUUAUGCUCAUGGCGUGGGAAUCAAUUAAUUUAAUGAAUCCCUCAAUGAAUGCCAAGGUGAAAUCACUGAAAAAGGUAAAUGUACCAACCAAAAAGGGGUCCUAUUUGUGCAUACACAAUCCAAAUAAAAAAAAAAAUUGAAUAUUAUUAUGAAGAAACAUCUGAAAUUAUGACAGAGGAAGAGGGAGAGAAAGAUGGUAGAGCGAACUUUCCAUGCUGAUUCUUUUACUCGUUUAGCAGACAACAAGCAUUUCCCCUAGUUGGUAUUGUUCUGCACUUUAGCUGUAUCUUUCUGUCACCAAGAGUGAGUUGUGCAGACAAAACUCUUUUUGGUAUGCCUUGCUUACGUGUCACUCCAACAUUGGUCAUAUGCCAGCCUGUCAUUUCACCUCAACUUGAUAAUGAACUAAUCAAAACAAGGCAUAUCCUAAGAAUCAAGAGGAAAUUGAUUUGAAUGUAACAAUUUUGAUCUAUUACCCUAGGCGGCAAUCAUGAGAUUAAUACAUUUGAGAUUCUAAGAUUUCAUUUCACCUCUACAAAUCUUACUUUUUACCUGAUGAAAUGUUUGACUAAAUAAUUAAAGAAUUCAACUAUCUGGCUUGAACUUUAUAAAUAGAUUUUAAUGUACAAUUGACUAAGAUUUAAUUUUUGAACACAUGUAAAAAUCACAUUUUCAAGCUGGUUCUUACCUUGAAGCACUAUUAAUACCAACCUUAAGCCUGUCAAAGCUGGUUCUCUAUUCUCUCUCACUAUUAAACUAGAGAGUCCUCAACUCAUUCACAGAAUCUCAGUGUUCCAUCAGAAUUUCUGGGAUUUGCUUUGAUUCUCAACCAAUAACACAGGAAAAUCUCUCAUUCUGGAAUAACCCUCUUGAUUCUUUGUUUCUUCUACCUUCAUUCAUACAUUCAUUGUGCUCAGAAAAAAAAUCUCUGAUUGAUUACCUCUAAUCACCACCAACCCUCUUCCACAAAUUGAGUCAUUUUCAUAAUUCCUGUGAAAUUGAGCAGGAAGAAACAAAGAAAGAGAGAGAGGGAGAGAGAAAGUGAUGGCACCCAAUUCAGUUCCUGUGACAGGUGACAGGACAAACGACUUCACCAUGUUACAAGUGCAUGAUGGUUCAGAUUCUUCUCCCCUGUUUCCGGAGAAACAAAAACCUGCGAGUACCAAGCAGUUUACAUGGGUUCUUCUCCUUAAACUCCACAGAGUUCUGACAUGUUUGUCAUGGUUGACCACAGGGACCAAAUCCACCUUUGCCCUGGUCAAAAAGCGCAUUUCUUUGUCGGAUAUAAGCGAUGAGGGUCCUAAGAACAGGGGAAGAUUGUACAGGUUCAUCAAGGUGUUUCUUGCUCUCUCUAUUGGUGGCUUGAUUAUUGAAAUCAUUGCUCAUUUCAAUAAAUGGAAUCUGCAUAUGAUUCAUCCUUGGGAGGUUCAGGGUUUGCUGCAAUGGUCCUAUGUGGCUUGGCUUUCUUUCAGGGAAGACUAUGUUGCUCCUCUGGUUCAGCUGGUUUCCAAUUUCUGCAUUGUGCUCUUCUUGAUUCAAUCCCUGGAUCGGUUUUUACUCUGCCUUGGCUGCUUCUGGAUCAAGUUUAAGAAAUUGAAGCCCACCAUUGAUGCAGAUGCUUUUGAUGUUGAAGAUCCUUCUAGCUUCCCUAUGGUUCUUGUUCAGAUUCCCAUGUGCAAUGAGAGAGAGGUAAUUGAAACAAUAUUGCAACUUGCUCAUUUUGUAUAACAUGUUUGGAUCAGCUUAUUUUUCUGUAGUCAAUUCUGCUCUCAGAAGUUUCUCACCCCCAGAAUUAAUUUUUGCUGUCAAAUCAAUUGUUGAACGAUUUCCAAACAUGAUAUUAAUACUCCACCCUGCCAAUAUAUGGUUAUGAUUUUGAUAAAUUGGUUUAAAUUUCUUACAGUAAUUGGUCUUCCUAGGUUCUUGCAUAAGUUGAAAUUAGAAUUAGUCUUAUGAUUGGUAGCCUAGUGUGGACAUGGUUUUCCAAUUUUACAUAUGAAGCUGAAAUUGUUUUUUUGUUUUUAUUUAAUAAAGGUUUAUUCAACAUCCAUUGGUGCUGCUUGUCAACUUGAUUGGCCAAAAGACAGAAUAUUAGUUCAAGUUCUAGAUGAUUCAGAUGAUGGGAAUUUACAGAUGCUCAUCAAUGAUGAGGUUGCCUCAUGGAAAGAGAAAGGGGUGAACAUUGUGUACAGGCACAGAUUGAUCAGAACUGGGUAUAAAGCUGGAAAUCUAAAGUCAGCUAUGUCAUGUGACUAUGUCAAAGACUAUGAGUUUGUGGCAAUUUUUGAUGCAGAUUUCCAGCCCAAUCCUGAUUUUCUCAAACUAACCGUUCCACAUUUUAAGGUUGGUACUCUGAGCCUAAUAAGGUCAUGGCAGAAGUUUUCUUUGUAUGUUCUAAUAGCAUAUUUGGAUCAACUUAUUAAUCAGCAGAAACAAUUCUGACACCUAGAAUCUAUUCACAGUAGUUUCUCCCCAAAAUUGGUUUUGGCUUUAGAAUCAACUGUAGAAUGAUUUCCUGGCAUACACUAAUGUUUUUUUGUGACUUUGCCUUACAGGGAAAACCUGACUUGGGUUUGGUUCAGGCUAGAUGGGCCUAUGUGAACAAGGAUGAGAAUCUACUCACAAGGCUCCAGAACAUCAACUUGUGCUUUCACUUUGAGGUGGAACAACAAGUGAAUGGUCAUUUCCUGAAUUUCUUUGGAUUCAAUGGAACAGCUGGUGUUUGGAGGAUAAAGGCUUUGGAGGAAUCCGGGGGCUGGCUAGAGAGAACCACAGUUGAGGACAUGGACAUUGCCGUCCGUGCUCACUUGAACGGAUGGAAGUUUAUCUACCUCAAUGAUGUCAAAGCUCUUUGUGAAUUGCCAGAGUCUUAUGAAGCUUACAAGAAGCAGCAACAUCGCUGGCAUUCUGGUCCAAUGCAGCUUUUCCGGCUAUGUUUCCCUGCUAUAAUCACUUCCAAGGUAUUAAGAAUUUUCAAUUAACUUUCUACACACAUUAAGAUCUCAUUUGAAUACAGACUAAAGAGUACUUAUUGGAGCUUAUUUACAAAAACGAGCACAGCAUAAGCUCUGAUAAGUGUUCUUUGUCCGCAUCCAAACUUGCUCUAAGUCUUUGUGCUGGGAAAUGUGUAUAAUUUUCUGAGCUUUUUAUUUGCUUUUGUGCAGAUAUCAAUCUGGAAGAAGGCUAACUUGAUAUUUUUGUUCUUCCUAUUGAGGAAACUUAUACUUCCCUUCUACUCGUUCACCUUGUUCUGCAUUAUACUACCCUUGACUAUGUUCCUACCUGAAUCUGAACUACCCCUUUGGGUGAUAUGUUAUGUCCCCAUUUUCAUGUCUUUCUUGAACAUUCUUCCAUCCCCAAAAUCUGUCCCUUUUCUUGUUCCAUAUCUUCUUUUUGAGAACACAAUGUCAGUUACAAAGUUCAACGCCAUGGUUUCGGGGUUGUUUCAGCUAGGAAGUGCUUAUGAGUGGGUUGUGACUAAGAAGACAGGUAGAUCUUCUGAGUCAGAUUUAUUAGCCUUGGUUGAGAGAGAAUCAAAGUCUUCAAAUGAAGAGAAAAUUCACAGGAGGCACUCAGAGUCUGGCUUGGAGUUAUUAGGCAAACUUAAGGAAACACAAGCCCCUUCCAAGAAGAAGAGAAACAAGAUCUAUAGGAAAGAGCUAGCACUUGCAUUUCUUUUGCUCACAGCAGCUGCUAGAAGUCUUCUAUCAGCACAAGGUCUUCAUUUCUAUUUUCUUCUCUUCCAAGGUUUGUCAUUUCUUGUGAUGGGUUUGGACUUAAUUGGGGAGCAGGUGAGCUGAAAUUAAUAAGGCAUGGGAACUGUUUUGCUUGUUUUUUGACACCAAUACUUGGUUCUGAGUCCAGACUUCAGUUGAUGUUCAUUGAAGAUAAAAUCAUUUGGAUGAACUAUAUCAGCUGGCAAGAAACAAUAUACAAAGUAAAGUUGGUUGUACAAUUAUAAAAUAAAAUAUUGAGGAUGAUAAGCAUUGAUCUAAUAGAGAAAAGAAUGUAAUUGUUUUUCUACUCCCAUUUUUUGUAGACUUCAAAUUUGUCAAAGUUAAGAUUUGUUGGAUUUUUAUGGGUUUUCACCUAUGUAAAGCUUUAGGACAACAUAUUGUUGGAACAUAAUUGUAUUUACUUUCUUUGAGAAUAGUUCGCGAAACAUUUAUCCCUCCAUUUGCUUUUCUGUUGUGGAGUGUGCCAAUGUGAGCAAUUAUGUGAUAUGAGAAUCCCUAAUGUUUCACAUGUCUUCGAUUUGCAUGUUCACAAAGAGUAAGCAAAGACACAUCUAUUCAAAAGAAGUUGUUUUUCCAAAAUUUGAGUUAGUGGAUGUUCUUGAUACGAUGCAGAGGUAUUGAUAAGACAUUAUGAUGCUUAAAUCAAUGAGUGUAUGGAGAUAGAAAGUCAAUGUUAUAGAAGAAGAAGAAUUAGUUAGUAAGGUGAAUAAUGUUUAUGUAAGUAAACAAUCAAACAUGUAUUGAUAGGCAAGUGACAGUGAUGCUCAAAGUACUGAAUCUUGGUGAAAUCUUUAUGUAUUACUUUCAUGACGAUGAUUACCUUAGACAGCCUUGCAAUUGUCUUAUAAAUGUGAUGACUUAGUUCCACUCAAUUGACACUUGGAUGAGAUAAAACUCAUUUUUGGUCGUCCCAACUAGCCAACAUGAUGUCCACUUUGUUGUGGAACCUUUGAGUCGCACAGGAAGAUUUUGAGCCUAGUAGCCUUUUGGGACGACCGGAACAAGAAUCCAUUGGCUUGACAUGUAAUGCAAUAUGAUGUCAAGUUUGACAAGCUUAUACUAAUCACAAAGAGUUAAUGGUCAAAUUAGUCUCUGAAUUUGUAGCGAGUUUGAUUUUAGUCAUUCGGUGGAAAAAUAACGUCUGGUGGCGGUAAAAAACAACAAGUAAUUAUAAAAAUGACUGCCACUAAACGUCAUAGUCCUGCCCAAGGGACUAAAAUGAAACCCAUUUACAAAAUUAGAGACUAAUUUGAUCAUUAACCGAAUCACAAAAAUAUCUCAUACAUAAUGCAAGCGUUUCGAGAUAAAUAAACCACUUUAAAGUAUUAAUAAAAAACAUUUGCUUUAAACCAACUUUUAGCCGAGAUGGAACUUAUAUUUCACACAAUGUCUUUCGGUUCUUCUAAAGCAUUUUGAAACUUGAAAAUUUCCCACAAGUGAUUAUUGAAAGUGAUUCCCAAGAUGUGGUGGAUCUGUUAAACAACCAGUACAACUAGAUUGUUCAAGCCAUUCUUCAGCUGAGAUCAGUCCAUGAGACUAUUGUUAUCCGUCAUGUUCUAAGGAACUCAAACUCCUUGGCUGAUUAUUUAGCUAAGGUGGGUCUCUCCCUUCCUUUCGGGACACAUACCUUUGAUUCUCCUUUCAGCAAGUGUCACUCUCUAUUGCGGCGGGACUUGGAUCCAUCAUCUAUUUCCCAUGUAGGGUCUUUUAACCCUUAGUUUUUUGUUUACGAGGCCUAGCCUCUCAAUUGUAACAAAAAUAAACUUGAAAUAUUAUGAUUAAUGAAUAAUUAUAAAUGUGUGUAAUAGAGUCGUGACAUUCAAAGUAACCACUUUUUUUUUCACACUUUAUAGGUUACGUACCUAGUCACAUUCCAAUUAUUUUAUUUUUGAAUUUCAUUAAAUUGGGGGAAAAAGUAAUCUUGAAGAUCUUUUCAUUUUAAUCAGUGGUUAUUAUUGGUUUUAUAAGGGAAGAUGAGAGUGAGAAAAAUAGUGCUCAUAAUGUUAACCUAAAACAUGCAAUUGAACAUGCUUUAACCCCUUCACAAUUUGUGAGGUCAUUUACCCUCUUAAAUGAGGAGUUAACACAAAUAAUAAGAGAUUUUGAAGGUGAAGAUUGGAGUGAUUCAAGUGAAGAUUCUAACCCUCUUAAAAGACUUUAUUAACCUUGAUAUAGUGAUACUGACCAAAUCUUUUUUUGAUGUGGGCUUGGAACCAAGACUAGCCAGCCCACUAGAAAUUCAAAAUACCCACUAAAAUGGGCCUUCUUGUGCAACUACGACCCAUUUGUUUUUCCCAUGCAUUACACUGCACUCACACAGUGUCUCGCUCCUGUCUUGUCCUCUCACAACAUCACAUCACUUUCUGUCUUCGAAACUUUGGCUUUUCAAACUCCAAACUGGGUUUCUCUGAUCACUCAGAACGUGAUUUUGUAACUGGGUUUGCACACUGUGUAAUCUACAACGAUGAACUUCAAAUUUUGAGUUAUUUUAUAUAAAUUUUGCUGUUUAACUCAACUAUGAUAUCACCCCGUUGUGCUUGCAGUGUUGCAAUGGCUGAGGAAAAGGACGCUUUCUUCGUUGUAAAGAAGGGAGAUGUUGUUGGCGUUUACAAGUCUUUCAGUGACAUUCAACCUCUACUUGCAUCAUCUGUAUGUCUUUUGUUUUUCAACCUCCUUGAUGCAAAUUUUUUGUCUUUGGAGUUUUUCUGUAAAUGGGUAUCAGCUCUUUGUGAUGUUGAACCUCUAAAUGGUGUCUAUACACUGCUAAAUUUACAUCAAACUUGUGGGGUUGUAUACUUGUAUUUUUUGUUCUGGGAACCAUCAUGUCUUUUUCAUUGUUUUGGUUACAAAUUACAAUGGAAGUUGAGUUUCUGCAUUUUCCAAGCAGGUACCUGGUGAGACUGUAAGUGUUUACAAAGGGUAUUCUUUACCUCAGAAAACUGAGGAGUAUCUUGUCUCACAUGGGCUCAAGGGAGCUCGUUACUCUAUUGGUGCUGCUGAUGUGCAGGAGGGGCUGUUUGGAAGGCUUGUUGCUUGUCCUUAUCAGGUUCGAGACACUCUUCAUUCCUUUAUAAUAUUUGUGGAAAUUUCCUUGCACAUGGGAUCAAUGUCCCUUUUUCUGUCUAAAAGCUUGAUAAUGUUAACUUGAGCUUUAUGUUUCUACUUUUGGUUAUCAGCUUACAUUUUUUUUUGGGGGGGGGGGGGGACUUCACUUCUAGGAUUAUGGUUGAUUGUAAUGCGUAUGGUUCAUUUGCAAUUAGCAUUGUUGAUGAAAACUUCUUGAACUAUUUUUUAACUUCAAAGCUUAAGCUUAAGCUUUCGCCAUUUAUCACUCUGGCAUGUUAGCAACUGAAACAAGUUUAACUUCAAGAAGUGAUCAUAUUUCUUUCAGGAACCACAUGCUUAUGUAGGAACAGCUUCGGUCGUGAAUUCCUCAUCAAAGAGCUUGCAAGGUGCCAAGCAAUUUAAUGCUAGUGUAAGUUAUCAACAUUGACAUAUCUCAACCAGGAAAUUGCACCUUAGUAUUGCCAAAUUAUCACUCUGGCAAGUUAGCAACUGAAAAAAAAGUUUAACUUAAAGAAGAGAUCAAAUUUCUUUCAGGAACCACAUGCUUAUGUAGGAACAGCUUCGGUUGUGAAUUCCUCAUCAAGGAGCUUGCAAGGUUUCAAGCAAUUUAGUGCUAGUGUAAGUUAUCAACAUUGACAUAUCUCAACCUGGAAGUUGCACCUUAAUAUUCGAAAAAGAAAUGCUAUUUACUUGUGUAAAAUGCACAUUUCGAGCUUUACUGUGAUCUUCACUGGUAAGUCAUGAGUGUUAAAUAACAUGUUCCUGAGGUCCACCCGUAGCCACCUUGGCCCCCAUAUUUUGAGAAGCGCUGGACUUCUGUUGUCUGUUGAAGUUAGUGGGAUGUCAGCAGGUCCCUUUUUAACUUUUGAAUAGAUCCAAGUUAGUAUUGUCAGUGCUGUGGUCUUACUCUCGUACAGUUUAGGCAGUUGAAGGUGUGUUUUUCAUUGUUUAUUAUUGGUUUGUUUUACCUUUUUUUGUUUCUUGAGCAGGAGGUGCCAGGGUCAUCUACAUUUUCAAAUUUACCGGAGCACCACAUAGGCGGUAGUGGAUUUCAGGUCGAGCGGCCUACUUGUGUAAGUUGGUUUGUGUUUUUUAAACGUUGCUAAUAUCAUUAUACUAGACUACUAGAGUAUAGUUUGCAGGUCACUUAAUAUUGUGUGAUGCAGUUGGUAACUGUCCAAGCUCCUUUUCCAUUGCCUGAUUUUCUUUAUCUAUGCAGUUAUCAGCAAGUGGUUAUAAAUUUAGAAAUUAUGGCAUCAUAAAAUUCAAAUCCACUACAAAGGCUUGGCUGUCAAUAUUACCUCUAGUUUAGAGCUUAGACAUUUCCUUGAUGAUUUUCUGCUAUAAGGAUGGGUCGGUGACUGUGUGGGACUUAUUGUUCAUUGUUAAGUUAUCGCUGAUGCAACUCUUAAAUUCCAAGCAUCAUAUUAAAUUGUUCAACUCUUAAUACAUGGAUGUGUGCAAGUAGUGGUUCUGUAGCUGAAGGCUGGUGGCUGCACCAGCAUCAUAUUAAAUUGUGCUCUGUAUUAUCUUUCUGUGCUGUUUAAUUCAACUGAGUUUCAUUUGUUGUUCAAUCUGUUUGGAAAAAAUAGUAAUUUUUUGAACUUUCAUCACAUUUAUAAGAGAAAUUUUUUCCCCUUUUAACUUUGACAUGUGGAAGCACAUAUGUUGGGUUGGAGGGCUUUUAAACUGGAUGGGACGUUUCAGAAAUUUUCUUUGAAAUAAAUUAAUGCAUUUGGCCUUCAGAUUGAAUGCUGAAUUUCUUGAUUGAUUGUCCACCUCUCUUCUUAGCUGGAUUAUUUGGCAUACUUACAACAACAAAAUCUUACUUGCAGCUUUCUUGUAGCCUUGAGUUUGAUGGUGCUUCCAAAGGAAAUCCCGGACCCGCUGGUGCAGGAGCUGUGCUGCGUGCUGAUGAUGGGAGCAAGGUGUCUACUGUAUGCUACAAUUCAACUUGUUAUUAUGUUCUUUAAAGAAUAUUGCUAACUCUUAGGUCUCUUCAUAGGUCUAUCGGUUGCGUGAAGGAGUUGGCACUCAAACCAAUAAUUUUGCUGAAUAUAGGGGUUUAAUUUUAGGAUUGAAACAUGCCAUCAAGGAAGGAUACAAGCACAUUCAAGUCAAAGGAGACUCCAUGCUUGUUUGCAACCAGGUUUGGUGUCUUUUCAGUUUAUGCAUUAUUCUUAAUAAGUUCCAAUAUUGAGAGAGAUUUACCAAGGAUUUCUCUUCAGAUUUUUGUACAACUUUUUAUCUAACCAGUUUAUCAUCUGAUGUGAUUGCUUUUGCAACAGGUUCAGGGUUUAUGGAAAAUCAAAAACCAGAAUAUUGCUUCCUUGUGUAGUGAAGCUAAGGAGCUGAAGAAUAAGUUUCUAUCAUUCAAGAUCAAUCAUAUUCCUAGGGUACCAACUUACUCAUUUGGUCUAAGUUUUAUAUUUAUUUACAAAAAUGAAGAAGAUUUUGGCUAAAUUGCCCCCUUCACCCUUAUAUUAAUGCGGAGUGGACAACUCUGGAUAAACAAAAGAUGAAAUGUUGAAAAUAAUUUACUAGCAUUUGACAAUCAUUUAUAUGUCAGUGUUUCUCAUGGCUUUUAAUUCUCAUGCCUACCUAUAAAUGAGGCUAUGUGAUCCAAAUGCUUGAGUAGCUAAAUUAUCUACCAUUAAAAAUCAUUGUUCCAGUUUUAACUUAACUUUGAGCAGUAUUCCUACCAAUAUUGUUUAAGCUAUUUGUAUGGUUCCUGGGAGUAUUUAUGUGGAGUUAAGAACUUAAGAUCACUUGCAGCCUCAAUUGUUUAUAUGAAUAUUUACAUGCAGUUCUUACUAUUUUAUCUUGUUUUUUGGAUGACAACUACCUUAAUUUUUGCCUCACUUUUUUGUGAUGUUCCAGGAAUAUAACUCCGAAGCUGAUGUUCAAGCUAACUUUGGCAUAAGUCUCCGAGGUAAGACCCCAAGGAUUUCUAAGUUACCUAUACGGUUAACUUUGCUUUCCUGAUCAAAUGAAAAUCCCCUUAGCAAAAUGAUUUGCAGCCAAAUAUGAUCUUGAAACCUAAAAGCCGCUGUGGUUUGUAUGUGGUUUUAACUUUCUCUUCAUAUGUUUCCAUUUUCUAAUUACAAUCUACGAUAACGCUACCUUUUCUGUUAACAGAAAUUUAGGAAGAAAAAAUAGUGUAUACAAUCUCUUAGCUUUCUAUAGUUUUAACUUCAUAUCUAGAUUUGGAACGGGAAAAUAAUUUUUGUUGGCUCUUCAACUUUUGCAGCUGGUCAAGUUGAAGAAGUUCGUGAGGUUCCUUAAUGCAUUGACUGACAGUACCAGUUAUGGCAUGCCCCUUUUGCUUUCAGCAAGUGUAAAUUCGGUAGCUGUAACAAAGAAGCAAUUUAAAUUUCUAACAACAUAUUUUAUGUGACUUUUUUUGUAUAGGCAGUUACGCCCUCCCUGCCGUGAAUUGGCUUUGCAACUUAGCAUAUGCUAAGUUGCUAACCAUUCUGUUUGUCUAACUCUAGACAUGCUAAAUAGUGUAGAUGCCUAACAUUAGCUUUGGGACUUAAACUUGUGCUGUAAAGCUCUCUCUGCAGUAGAGUCUAAAAGUGAGAUAUUUAUCUUAAUGGAAAGAUUCUUUGGCCUUUAGGCGAGAGACAAAAACUAGUCUUCACAAAACUACCGGGACAAUUAUCUUAAUGGAGAGAUUCUUUUGCCUUUAGGCGAGAGACAAAAACUAGUCUUCACUAAAAAUACCGGGUUAAAAAAAUGUAUUAAACCCAUUUUAGCUUCACCUUAAUUUUUUUUACCAUGUAUUUAAAGAUGCAUUUAUGUUAAGGGAGUUUUACAAAUUUAAUUAUAAUAAUACCUCCAUCUCUUCCUUCUCCCACUAGUUUUUUUUUAAUUGGUCGUCCAUUGUCACAAUUACUUCUUUCCAAGCUCAAAAUCCAUCUCUCUUUAUGAGUUAUCCAGCUUUUUCUUCUUUUUUUGAAAGAUGUUUGGAUUACCAUCCAAAGAGUUACCCAACGACACUUACAUCACAUGAGAAUAUAAGUCCCAAGAAGUGAUAUUGCAAUGAAGAAAAUUAAGAAUAGAGCAUGCUCACUCAAGCUAAGUUGAUUCAUCCAAUACAAAACAUGAAGUAAAAACCUUAACAGUCAUACAAAAGUUCAUAAAACUACACAACUCAACUAGCUCUGCCAGAGUUGUAAUGUGUAGCUUUGCAACAAGGCCAACAUAACGACUUCAACAACAUCAAGUGAAGUCUAGCUGACAACAAAGAGAAGCUAGAAGGAAUGAAUGACUCAUGUGAAGACCAAACAAAUUGUGGUAACGAAAUGAGAAAAAAAAAGUGAUGAUGACAAAGGCGGCUUUAAACUGCAAAAUAAUUAAAAUAGGAAUAAAUCACAAAUUGAAAAAUAUCAGCAAUUUAACCACAAAUCAAGUAUUUGAUGUGAUAACAUAUAUGACAUCCAGAGCGGUAAAAUUCUACAUAUCAAAUAUUCAACACAACUACAUUCACACGGACUCGUAGUCGAGCCCGAGACACCUCCUUAACUGAAAAAAGAAAUAGAGCCUAAUAAAUAUUUACAGGUAAUAAAAAUAUUUAUUUAUAUGCGAUAAAAUCUUGUUUGAUGUGGGCUUGGAUGGGCCUUGUUGUGCAAUUGCUUGAUCCAUCUUCCAUUUUCCCACGCAUGACGCAUGAUAUAUAGUACAGUUUCUCUGUUACGCUCCUUUCAUUUCUGAGCGUCAGUUUCUGUCAACCUUUCUUCUUCUACACGGUUAGGGUUUUCAACAUUCAUUCAAACUCAUUUCUUCUUCUUUUCUCAUCACUGAGGUCGUGAUUUUGUCACUGUGUUUGCACACUGUGUAACGAUCAACAAUGAACUUCAAAUGCUGAGUUAUUUCAUUUUUUGUGAUUUUUGUUGUUGUAAUCUCAACUAACAUCACUCUCUUGUUCUUGCUUGCAGUGUUGCUACUAAGAUCAUCCCCUUGUGCUUGCAAUGGCUGAGGUUUGAAACGCUCUUCGUUCUUUUACGUGUUGUCUCCAAAAUUUUCUGAAAAUUUCUUCGUAUAUGGGAUCGAUUUCACUUUUGCUGUCUAAAUGCUUUGAUCUACAUGUUUCUAAUUUUGGUCAUCAGUUUUGUAUUUUUUUGUGACCUAGAUUCUAUGUUUAUGGUUGAAUGUUCACUUGAUUGUACUGUAUAGGGUUCAUUUGCAAUUAGCAUUAUUUUUGGAAAUUUCUUAACAUUUUGUUUAUUUUUGGUAAAUGAGACUAACUUCAAACUUUAGUUUAUGCCAUUUGUGACUCUGGCAAUCUAGCAACUGAAAAUUGUUUAGGAAAAUGAUUAAACCUACGAAAUGAAAAAUGAAAUUUCGUUCGUUGCGAAUGAAACGAAAUUUUGUUCGUUUCCAUAACGAAAUUUUGUUUGUUUCCAUUUCUGAUUGGUUAAUACAAGAUGCUUUGAUUUCUAACAUUGAAUGAUAAUUUAUUUUCACCAAUAGUAAGUGGCCAUGUAAACAUUUGACUGUUUCGUUUGGUCAUUUAUUCGGCCUAAAUAGCAAUUGCUGAAAUGUUUAACUUGAUCAUGAGAUUCAUUGUCUUUCAGUAUCCAUAUGGUUCAAGAGCUUACCGUGGGAAUUCCUCAUCAGGUGGCAGGCAAUCUAAUGCUAAUGUAAGUUAUCAACAUUGACAUUAUCUCAACCUGGAAAUGCUGUAUUUAUUUAUUAAUGUGAAACACACAUUUGGAGUUCUUGUUGAUUUUCUGCCAUAAGGAUGAGUGUGAGACUGUGUGGGACUUGUUUUUUCAUUGUUCUGUUAUGGCUGAUGUGACUUUUAAAAUUCAAGCAUCCUAUUCUAGUAUUAAUACAUGGAUGUGUGCAAGUAAUGGUUCCUGUGGCUGAAGGCUGGGGACUGUACCAUAAAGCCAUAGAUUAAAUUGUUCUUGGAGCCAUUUUAAGCGAAUCUAACUGUCAAAACAAAUAUCUUGAUGGAGACUAAAGUAUUCUGUUCUGCUGUGUAAUAUCUUUCUGUGCUGAUUGAUUCAACCGGGUCUCAUUUGUUGUUCAAAAUGUUUGGGAAAAAUUAUGAAUUUUUAAAUUUUCAUGACAUUUUAAACUGAGUGUACUUUUUCCCCUUUUAACUUCGAGAUGUGGAAGCACAUAUGUUGGCUCCGAGGGCUUUUAAACUGGAUGGAAUGUUUCAGAAAAUUUUCUUUGAUUUCAAUCAAUGCAUUUACGGUUCAGAUCUGUGGUCAUAAUUAUGGUUACAGGUUUCAUUGCAUAUGAUUGUAUGCUGAUCUUUCUUGAUUGAUUGCCCACCUCCCUUCUUUGCUGGAUUAUAUGGCAUACUUACAAUAACAAAAUCUUUCUUGCAGCGUUCUUGUACCCUUGAGUUUGAUGGUUCUUCCAAAGGAAAUCCUGGAUCAGCUGGUGCAGGAGCUGUGCUGCGUGCUGAAGAUGGAAGCAAGGUGUCUAUUGUAUGCAACAAUUCAUUUUUUGUUGCGUUCUUUAACAAGUGUAGCUAACUCUUAGGUAUCAUUAUAGGUCUAUCUGCGUGAAGGAGUUGGCAAUCAAACGAAUAACCAAGCUGAAUAUCGAGGUUUAAUUUUAGGACUGAAACAUGCCCAUGAGCAAGGAUACCAGCACAUUAAUGUCAAAGGAGACUCCCAGCUUGUUUGCAAACAGGUUUGGUAUCUUUUCAGUUUAUGCAUUAUUCUUAACAGGUUUCAAUAUUGUGAGUUGUGAUUUACCAACAAUGGUACGUUACUCUUCACUUUUUCUUUUCUAACCAGUUUACCAUCUGCUGUGAUUGCGAAUGCAACAGGUUGAAGGUUCAUGGAAAGCUCGAAAUCCGAAUAUAGCUUCCCUGUGUAAUGAAGCAAAGGAGCUGAAGAGCAAGUUUCAAUCAUUCGACAUCAAUCAUGUUCCUAGGGUACCUACUUACUCAUUUGGUCUAAAUUAUAUCUUUAUUUACAAGAGAUAAGAAAAUUUUGGCUAAAUUGGCCCCUUCUCCCUUGUGGGUAAUGCUAAGUGGACAUCUGUGGAUAAACAAAAGUUGAUUCUUGAAAAUAAUUCACUGGCAUCUGACAAUCAUUUAUAUGUCAUAGUGUUUCUCAUGGGUUUUCAAUUUUCAUGCCUACCUAUAGAUGAGGCCACGUGAUCCAAAUGCUUGAGUAGCUAAAUUAUCUACAAUUAGAAGUCCUGGUUCCAGUAAUAACUAGACUUUGAUCAGUAUCCUACUAAUAUUGCAAAAGCUAUGUGUCCUCAGUAUUUUUGUGGAGUUAAGAUCACUAGCAGUACCAAUAGUUUAUAUGAAUGUUUACAUGCAUUUCUUACUAUUUUUAUCAUUUUUUGAUGACAACUACCUUAUUUUUGCCUCACUUUUUUGUGAUGUUCAAGCAAUAUAACUCUGAAGCUGAUGUUCAAGCAAAUCUGGGUGUAAAUCUCCCAGGUAAGACCCCAAUGAUUUCGCUGUACAGUUAACUUCUUUGCUUUCCUGAUAAAUGUGAAUCCAUUUAGCAUGAUAUGGUUUGUAUUUGAGAAUAUUUUUCAAUUGAUAUGUUUUCAUUUUUCAAUUACAAUAAUGCUACAUUUUCUUCUUUAAAAAUAAAUACAAGAAGAAAAUAGUGUUAUGUAAACAAACUCUUAGCUUUCCAUAGUUUUUAAUUUCAUAUCUACUUUUAAAAGGGGUAAAUAAUUUUCGUUUGAUCCUAAACUUUUGCAGCUGGUCACGUUGAAGAAUAUUGUGAGUUUCCUUGAUGCAUGACUGGCAGUAUCAAGCAUUGUCAAUUUCUUUUUGCUUUCUGCCUUUGGUAAUUCGGAUGCUGUAAUAAAGAAGCUGGUUAAAUUUCGUACUAUAUACUUUGUUUUAUGUGACUUUUUUUGUGGGUGUUGGCACUGCCUUGUGCAGCCACAGAUCAAUUACUUUGAGCUGUUUUGUCUGUUUGACUAUGCAUAUCGUGUGGAUGCUCACAAUUAGUGCUACUUUAAUGUUUGGAUGGCAUUGCCUCAGCUAAUGCAUGACCUUAUUGUAAGCAUAUGUGGAAUCCUUCACUCGUUUUGAAUUAAGACUUAGAUUCGAGCUUUUUAGUGUUGCAUGUUCUUAAAAUAAAAUUUAUGAAAAGAUUUAGAGUUAAGUUCAACAAAUUUAGAAUUUGUACAACUGAAAUUUUUUAGCUGAUUAAUUUUAUAUAGGUUUUGUUUGUCUCGGCAAUGGUUUUUGUAACCCAAAAGUGAUUCAAAGGUCAUUUUUUUUAAAAAUUAAAUAGGAUUAUUAUAGUGCAGAAGCAGAAGAUUUAUAUUUACCUCCCUUUAAGGAGAUUAUUGUGGUUCGAAUAUUCGCUUUGUUAAGGGUUGAUUUGUUAUGUUUCAUCACUUUAUGCAUAAUUGUAUUACUUUUUGGGGUUUGAAGAUAUGCGUCUUUUUUUUUUGGUCAAUGCAGAUAUGCUUCUAUCAAACUAAUAAAUGUUUAAUUUAUGCAAAGUGCAAUCGGGCCUGUCUUUGAACUUAAAUCUUAUUUUUUGACAAAAAAGGAAAGGCUUGAUUAUAUUUUUAUUCCCAAGGUGUAACCUUAGUUACCUUUUAUGUUUUUCUUCAAAUUUGUUUAAUCUUUCAAUUUCUUAUCUAUAAUUUUUUUUUUCAUCAACUGAAUCCGUAAAUCUUAAUAAGUGAAUAACUUUCAACGUUGUGAACUGACAAUUUAUUCUUCAAUGAUCCUAAAUUGAAAAAAAAAAUUACUAAUUUUUCUCUAUCAUUAUAGUUUCUGUAAUUGUUAUUUUAAUGUCUUUAGAUUUAGAUUACCUUUCCUCUUGUAACAAAAAAAAAAGUCUUUAGAUUGUUCUAAUUGCCACAUAGAAUGGAUAUUUUUCGGGUUUAGGGUUUUUAAUAGAAGAGUUAAGCUUACAGGAGAAUUGACCUAACAACAUAAAUUUAGGUAGCGUUUGGUAGACACAUCUGAACGGGACGGAACAGGAUAUAUGAGUUCUGUUCCGCGUUUGUCAUGUUUUUAAGAUGGAACAGAACAGGACAAAAAGCUCCUGGAACGGGACAUUUUGGUUCCGUAGAAAAGGGUGGAACGGAAGGGAACAGAACAGAACACUUUAUUAAAAUUAUUAUAAAGACAAUACUACCCUGAAUUUAUUUUCAUAUUUCCAUUUCUUUACCCCUUUCCUCUUCUCUGUUUCUCAUCAUCAUCCUUACGUCUUUUUUUCUUCUUCUUCUGCAUAAUCAUAUAUUUUAUUCAAUUUCUUUCUUCUGACAAAAACAAAUUGCCAUUUUUACCAUCAGUGCUCUCAGAUCCCUCCAUCAAUUUCUCUUCCAAUUUUUCCUUACUCCAUUGUUGUGAUUUUUCUCAAUCAUAGCCACAAUCAAAGUUCAUGGAGCCCCCAAAUCACAUGGCGUCACAAACAAAUGAUGGGUGACAGAGAAAGAUGAAGGAAGAGACAAGAGAGAGGGGCGCACGGUGGAGGAAGAGAUCAGAGGCAGCGGUAGAUCCACGAGGUGGCUCCGUUCGUGGCGACCUGAGAUCCACGGCGGCGGAUCCAAACGCUACCUUAAGCACAACCUAAAGGCAUAAUUGAGAAGAACUUUUUGGACUAGCUCACAAAUAUGAAACUCCCAUUCAACCCAUGAAUCCAUUAUAUGUGUUUAUGGUCAUGAAAGAAUAUAGCCUAUAGGCAUUAUUCCAAUCAAUUGCAAAAGAUAUAGUAUAAUGUCCAUGAUUAAAACGUUAAAUUGGAAAUGAUGUUUGGAUUGUACGGUGGGUUCUUUCAUUGUGGUUCACUUACUAUUCUCCAAAUGAAAAAUUGAGCUCCUUUAUUUGUCUCCGAUGAGGCACACCAUUGUCACGAGCCACCGUUCCAUCACCUCCACUACAUGUUGUCGUCAUCUUUGUGAGAUCCUUGUCCAAAUCUCUUUCCUCGGCAUCUUGUUCUCGCACAGGUGCUCUGUGAAGGAGGAAAGAGACUGGAGCGGUGACGUAGGCAUGUCGGACUGGGCUGUGGAAUAUUUUGUGUGGGUCUAUGUUUUAUUUGCCUAAAUCUCAUACAUCAUCCAGAGUUAUUCGGGUCAAACCAUCUGGUCAGACCUAUUUUGAAAACCUUAGCUUGGAGGACACACAUUAGUUUACAACAACAUUAAACGUAGUGCUCGGCAAUAUAGAAAAUCGAAGGUGAAAUUCGUUGCAAUAGUCAUUUUGACUUCGCGUGUAACAUUUCCAACACCAUUGUCACCAAUAGAAGCCUCAUAUGCAGUCAUGCAACUUACAUAUUUUUACAGCUAAUAAAAAUAUUUAUUUAUAGACUUUGUUUUAGUCAUAAUAUUUAUUCAUAGUCUAUAUAAUAUUGUUUGACAUGGGCUUGGAACCAGGACUAGCCCACAAGAAAUUCACACUAAAAUGGGCCUUGAUGUGCAAUUGCAUGAUCCAUCUUUUGUUUUCCUACGCAUGAUAGUACAGUUCUGCAGUGACGUCUCCUGUCAUUUCAGUCUCAGAGCGUCAGUUUCUGUCAACUUUGCUUCUUCUUCACGGUUAGAAACUCAAGUCUCUAGGGUUUUCAACAUUUUUAUUUUUCUCAUCACUGUGAACUUGGUUUUGUCACUGUGUUUGCCCACUGUGCAACGAUGAACUUCAAAUGCUGAGUUAUUUCAUUUUUUGUGAUUUUUGUUGAUGCUUUAAACUAACAUCACACUUUUGUUCUUGCUUGCAGUGUUGCUUCUAAGAUCACCCACUUGUGCUUGCUUGCAGUGUUGAAAUGGCUGAGGUUCGAGACACUCUUCGUUCUUUCACGUGUUGUUGAAGUGUUGCUUGCAUCAUUUUCAUCAUUUUGCUGUUUAAAAACUUUGAUCUUGCUAACUUGAACUUCAUGUUUCUACUUUUGGUCAUCAGUUUUAAUUUUUUUUAGCUUAUGUUGAUUCACUUGAUUGCAAUGCAUAUAUAGGGUUCUUAACUUUUAAAAAGUUCUUAACUUUUUUGAAAAGUUCUUAUCUUUUUUUGUUUUUUGGUAAAUGACUAACUUCAAACUUUAGUUUAUGCCAUUUGUGACUAUGGCAAGUUAGCAAAUGAAAAAAGUUUUAACUUCAACAAGAAAUUUCAUUUUGUUUCAGUAUCCAUAUGGUUCAAGAGCUUACCACGGGAAUUCCUCAUCAGGGGCCAGGCAAUAUAAUACUAAUGUAAGUUAUCAACAUUGACAUAUCUCAACCUGGAAAUUACACCUUAGUAUCGCCAAAGAAAUGCUAUUUAUUUAUGUGAAACACACAUCUGGAGCUCUUGUAAGAUCUUUAUUGGUGAGAGUGAGACAGGUGUUGAAUAAAUUGUUCCUGAGGUGCACCUUUAGGCAACUUUUUUUUUUGAAUUCUGGCAUCAUAUAAUUCAAAUCAACCUACAAAGUUUUUUCUGUCAAUAUUAACUCUGCUUAAGACAUUUCAUUGGUGAAUUUCUGCCAUAAGGAUGGGUGUGAGACUGUGCGGAACUUGUUUAUUCAUUGUUCAGUUAUCACUGAUGCAACUUUUAAAAUUCAAGCCUAUUCUAGUGUUAAUACAUGGAUGUGUGCAAGUAAUGGUUCCUGUAGCUGAAGGCUGGGGGCUUCACCAUCAAGCCAUAGAUUAAAUUGUUCUUUGGGCCAUUUUAGGCCAAUGCAACAGUCAUAACAGAUGUCCUGAUGGAGGCUAAAGUAUACUGUUGUGCUGUGUAAUAUCUUUCUGUGCUGAUUGAUUCAACUGGGUCUCAUUUGUUGUUCAAAAUGUUUGGAAAAAAUUAUGAAUUUUUAAAUUUUCAUGACAUUUUAAACUUAGUAUAAUUUUUUCCCUUUUAACUUUGAGAUGUGAAGUUAUAUGUUGGCUCAGAGGGCUUUUAUUAAACUGGAUGGAAAGUUUCAGAAAUUUUUCUUUGAAACCAAUCAAUGCAUUUGAGCUUUAGAUUUGUGGUCCUAUUCAUGGUUACGGGUUUGAUAACAUAUUUAUGCUGAUCUUUCUUGAUGGAUUCUCCACCUCUCUUAUUUGGCAUACUUACAACAACAAAAUCUUUCUUGCAGCUUUCUUGUAUCCUUGAGUUUGAUGGUGCUUCCAGAGGAAAUCCUGGACCGGCUGGUGCCGGAGCUGUGCUGCGUGCUGAAGAUGGGAGCAAGGUGUCUACUCUAUACAACAAUUCAUUUUGUUGUUAUGUUCUUUAACAAAUGUAGCUAACUCUUAUGUAUCAUUAUAGGUCUAUCGGUUGCGUGAAGGAGUUGGCAUUCAAACAAACAACUUUGCUGAAUAUCGAGGUUUAAUUUUAGGACUGAAACAUGCCAUCCAGGAAGGAUACAAGCACAUUGAUGUCAAAGGAGACUCCAUGCUUGUUUGCAACCAGGUUUGGCAUCUGUUCUGUUUAUGCAUUGUUCUUAAUAGGUUUCAAUAUUGUGAGUUGAGAUUUACCAACAACGAUUACUCUUCAGUUUUUCAUACAUUUUUUUCUAACCAGUUUACUAUCUGAUGUGAUUGCUUUUGCAACAGGUUCAAGGUGUUUGGAGAAUCAACAAUCCGAAUAUAGCUUCCGUGUGUAAUGAAGCGAAGGAGCUGAAGAGCAAGUUUCAAUCAUUCAAGAUCAGUCAUAUUCCUAGGGUACCUACUUACUCGUUUGGUCUAAGUUUUAUAUUUAUUUGCAAAAGUGAAGAAAAGUUUGGCUAAAUUGGUCCCUUCACCCUUAUGGGUAAUGCUAAGUGGACAUCUCUGGAUAAACAAAAGAUGAAUCUUGAAAAUAAAUUCACUAGCAUCUGACAAUCAUUUAUAUGUCAUAGUGUUUCUCAUGGCUUUUAAAUUCUCAUGCCUACCUAUAAAUGAGGCCAUGUGAUCCAAAUGCUCCAGUAGCUAAAUUAUCUACAAUUAAAAGCCCUGGUUCCAGUAAUAACUAGACUUUGACCAGUUUCCUACUAUUAUUGCUUAAGCUAUGUGUCCUCAAAGUAUUUGUGUUUAGUUAAGAUCACUAGCAGCAUAAAUAGUUUAUAUGAAUAUUUACUUGCAAUUCUUACUGUUUUUAUAGUUUUUUAGAUGACAACUAACCUUAUUUUUUGCCUCACUUUUUUGUGAUGUUCAAGGAACAUAACUAUGAAGCUGAUGUUCAAGCAAAUCUGGGCAUAAAUCUCCGAGGUAAAGACCCCAAGGAUUUCCCUAUACAGUUCACUUCUUGGCUUCUCUGAUAAAUGAGAAUCCAUUUAGUAAGAUGAUUUGCAGCUAAGGCUGCUCUGAAACCUAAACGCUGUUGUUGUUUGUAUUUGGGUAUAAUUUUCAAUUGAUAUGUUUUCAUUUUGUAACUAUAAUAAUGCUACCUUUUCUGCUUACUAAAAAAUACAGGAAGAAAAUAGUGUUAAGUGAACCACCUCUUAGCUUUCCAUAGGUUUUAAUUUCAUAUCUACUUUUGGAAGGGGUAAAUAAAUUUUCUUAUUGGAUCUUAAACUUUUGCAGCUGGUCAAGUUGAAGAAGAACGUGAGAUUCCUUAAUGGAUGACUGGCAGUAUCAAGCAUUAUCAGUUUCCUUUUGCUUUCAGCUAUUGGAAAUUCAAAGAAGCCAGUUAAAUUUCUAACUAAAUAUGUUUUAUGCGACUCUUUCUUGUGUUGGCUCUGCCUAAUUCAGCCGUUUGGAUCAACUACUGUUAGCCGUUUUGUCUGUUUGACUAUGCAUAUCGUGUAGAUGCUCACGAUUAGGGGACUAAAAAUAGUACUGCUGUUAUGUUUGGAUGGCAUUGCCUCAGCUAAUGCAAGACCUUAUUAUAAGUAUAUGUGGAGUCCUUCACUCGUUUUGAAUUAAGACUUAGACUCAAGCUAUUUAGUGUUGCAUGUUCUUAACAUAAAAUUUAUGAAAGGAUUAAGAGUUUUGUUCAACAAAUUUAGGAUUUGUACAACUGGAAAUUUAGUUGAUCAAUUUUAUAUAUGGUUUUUUUGUUUCAACAACGGUUUUUGUCCCAAAAUUAUGAAAAUUGAUAUAAUAGUUAGGGCUGAGCAUCGGGCGGGUUCGGGUGUAACGUAUCGGGUUUGGGCGGUUUGAAACUAAAUUAUUCAACAUCGAUUCCGCCCGUGGAUGAUCUCGGGUGUGUCGGGUCCGGGUAAUCCGGGUGUCUCGGGUGGGUUGGGGCGGGUUCACCACCACUAAACGGAGAAUAUGAACCAGAAAAAAGAGAAAGGAAAAGAUGUGAACUGUGAAGAAUUAUGGAACAGAGUUAUUCAAACAAUUAGAUACAUGGAGAUCAACUAAAGAAAAAAUACAUAGAAGAUCAUCAACUAAAACAAAACACAGAGAUAGAACCAAUCUGUUCAGAUCCACCGCUCCACAACUUCAGCCUUCAGGUCCAUCGCGUGCGUGCCUAUCUACACCCAACAGAGACGAACAAGGAGAGAAUGUGUGGAGGCACGAUUGGGAGUCAAAAUCUUCAAUUCAAGAGAAGGAAGUGACCCAAUGAAAAAUGGUGGGAGGAUGCUGUGUUAUUGUAACAUGCGGGUAAAGAAAUGUAAAAUGGAGGUUGUAGAAAGUGAAAGGAACAAGAGCGCAGAGGAGAAGAGCUGUUGGAAAUAUGAUGGAGGUAGAAGAAUGGGUAUGAUGGAGAAGAUGAACUUCGUUCAUGAAUGGGUGAAUAAGUUUUGCUUUUAGAUAAAUAUUUUAAUAGAUUUCUUUCAUUUUAAUUCUUUUACAUUAAAAAAAAAAAGAUAAAGUAAACAUGCAAUCAUGACAAUGAGUGAUGGAUUGGAAAUAUAAUAGUAAUAGAUGUGUAUGCAGUGUGCGCCUGUGCUACUACCUACUAGUCAUAUGUGAUAGAGACAGAUGAUAAAAAGUAAACUUUGAAUAUAUAAUAAAACCACAAGCUCGAGGCAAUUUUUGACAGUGAGUAUGUAAAAUCAGGUGGGUUUGGGUUCCGACGAAAUUGAAACUUCCAACCCGCACCCGACCUGUGUCACCCGUUUCAGACUAUUUUUCCUUUUUGCCUUACCCGCCUAACCGACCCAUUGCUUCUUUUUUGUUCGGUUAUGUCGGUUUUGGGUCGGGUCAGAUCAAUUUGCUCAGCCCUAUUAAUAGUGGUUGAGUGUUGAUGAAUAGGUGUGGGAAAUGGAUGACUUGAUUGAGAUAUUUGGGUUGUUCUUCCUAGGAAACUAGAACAAGUACGAUUUGGAAAUUUGUGAUUAUUAUAAUUGUAUCACUUUUUGCUUCUCUGAAACAGACAAAAAAUGCUUAAUUGAUGUAAAAUGCAAUUGGACUGUCUUUGAACUUUAAUAUAAUAAUAUUUGUGCCCCAAAAAUAUAAUGAAGCCUUUGCAUCAAUUAUGUUUCUCUUCAAAUUUAUUUAAUCUUUCAAUUUGUUUUCUAUAAUGUUUUGUUGUUUCAUAAACUUAAUCCAUAAAUCUUAAUAAGUGAAUAGUCUCUCUAUUUUGGGAAGUUUAUUCUUAAAUAAAACUCCUAAAUUGAAAUUACUUUUUGGAGGGUUAAUGGUCAAAUUAGUUCUUGUCUUUGUAGAGUUUUGAUUUUCGUCCCUCCCCGGAAAUGUUUUAGCGAUAUCUCCCUGUAAUUGCAUUCAUUUUAGUAUUAGUCCUUACCGGAGGACGAAGCUCGGGCGAGAUUGCCUAGUGGCAGGUCAACGCCCAUAUGGCAUGCCACGUGUAAUUUUUGAUUAAAAUUUUAAUUCCAUGUGUGUAAUUAAAAUUAAAUUCAAAAUUCAAAACUACACAAAUUAUUUAACACUAAAUUAUACAUAAAAAAUUAAAUAGUAUGUAAUUAUUAUUCAUGUUCAUCAUUUUCCGACGCAGAAAAAAAAUUAUUCAUGUUCAUCAUUCAUGUUCAUUACCUUCAUCCUCUCCAUCUUCAUCAUUCAACCACCCCCAGGCCCCAACCCCUACCCCUAAAACCCCAAAAGGAGUGGACUGAGCAUCCUAGGGUUUCGUAACCCCCUUCUUCUUCUUCGAAACUUCCCAAUUUUACUCUUCACUCUCUCUCUCUCUCUUCCUUUGUUCUUCUUCCCCUCGAGAAUUUCUCAGUUCUCACUUCACUUCAAAUUCAAUUCUCGCUUGACUUCAAAUGCAUAAUCGAAAAGGUAGAUCAAGUCCUUAUCAUAAUGCGCUUCUGAACUCCUUUUGCUCUAGUGCACUGGGUAUAAUGUUUUUUUUUUUUACGUUCACUGGGUAUAAUGUUGUUUAUACUUUCAUCAUGAUUUUCUCUCUUAUGAUGUCACUGUGCUCGACCUUCAUGUUUUAUGUGAUUUUUAAUUUUUAACUUUAAUUAUUAAUUACACGUGGAAUUAAAAUUUUAAUAAAAAAUUACACAUGGCAUGCCACAUGGGCAUUGACCUGCCACUAUGCAAUCUCGCCGGAGCUCCGCCCUCCGGCAAAAACUAAUAACAAAAUGAAUGCAAUUGCAGGGAGAUAUCGCUUAAAAUUUUCUGGGGAGGGACGAAAAUCAAAACUCACUAUAAAGACAGAGACUAAUUUGACCAUUAACCCUUCUUUUUAUUAGUUUUUCUCUAUCAUAAUUUUCAAUGAGAAUUUUUUGUAAUUGUUAUUUUUAUAUCUUAAUUGGCAAAUUUUAUGAAUAUUUUUCGGGUUUAAGGUUUUUGAAAAAAGAGUUAUGAUUUGCCUUUUGCACAGCGGAGCUGCGUUGACACGACGAUGUGUACCUUUAGAAGAUGCUCCGACGCUCAAGUUAGUGAGUGAACAAAUAGAGAGUCUCUGAGUUUGAAGAAUUCUAGGUUUGCAUAAUGAGAAAUAUGUAAAUAAAUGAACAACUACACGUAUUUAUAGGCUUGGUUUUGUUGGUCUUUAGGAAGUCUUGUGAAUGAUCUUUCAAUGUCGUGGUUGCCCCUAGGCAACCUGGUGUGAUCUUUAAUAAAUGAGUUGGCAUUUGGGUGAUCGACAACUCAAUUGUGAGACAUAUUGGCAAGUCAUAUGCUAUUCAGCCUUUUAACUUUUUGGGCUAACCAUAUCACUUUCUUUUGCUUUCUUUUUGAUAUAUAGAAAUAUUCUUCACAACCUAAUCAUCACACAGAACUAGGCCCCAUUGCAACCAUCAGCGAACCAGUGCACUAAUUAUACUCAACAAACAUAUUUAUGUGGAACUUGGCUUUUCUCACAUGUGGGGUUAACAUUUUUCCUUAUCUCACCUCUUUCACCGCAUGAGCUAUCUAGAGGGGACAUUGAAUUACUGCUUAAAUUAUGUGGAAUAAUGUUUUGUUGAUAUUUUGAUAAACCCAUACACGGGUCCAGAUCCUCUCCAGUGGAUUUUCCUCAUGUUUUCUCCAGUGGAAUUUUGUGGCGGUUUGAAGCUGCCACAAAAUGUUUGAAGCUGCCACAAAAUGGUGCUGCAAAAAAGAAUGAUGUAAUAGAAUUAGAAGUAAGAAAAUAGUAAAAGAAGAGAGAAAUUAAAAAAAUGAUAAAUGAUGUAAUAGAAUCAGAAGUAAGAAAAAGAAAGAUUAUAUGAGUGAACAUAAGAAGAAAAAAUGAAGUGUAAUGAAUCAAUACUCAAUUAUGUUUAUUUAUUUAUUUACAAUACUCAACUAUGUAAGACAUACAUAUUUACAUAUGUCAUCUAUUUUUUGUUCACACUCACACAUGCCAUUUCAAUAGACAAUUUCUUCUUGCUCUUGGGCCAAAAAGAUCUACAACAAACUUCACACAUGUAAAAAAACAAACAGAAAAAAACUUGGUACAAGAAGCAGAGUAGAGUACUUUGACCAAAAAAGAAGAAGAAGCAGAGUACAACAUGAUGUUCUGUUGUGGAUAGGGAGUGAAAAAGAGCAACUUCAUCAUCAGCUAUUCAACCAGUUGUCAUCACUGUGUGUUGAAAAUGGCAACACUAUUUUGAUAUUUUCAUCCCCAUCUCUGCAUUCCAUUCGCCUCUCUUCUUAUCCUUCUUCUACAGCUUCUUCUCCCUUAAUUUCUCGUUGUUUCCCGAAGAAUAAUUUUUUUUUAUCUAUGGCGAACGCAAAUUAGACAAAUUCAAAUAUUUAAAUUAGGAAAUAUGUUAAGCUUUGUCUUUGUCACUAAUGUUAAAGAUUAUAAAUAUAAAAAGAAAUCGCGUACGUCAUACUCCCUAUGUGGUAUUAACACUUUUAAUGAGUAUUUUUGUUGCAAAAUAUAAGCCACUUUACAAUAUUUAUGAAAUAUUAAUUAUUUUUUUCAUAAUUACCCUUAUGCAAGUUAACAUUUUUCCACUUUCUAAAAUUUUAUUUUAUUUCCAAGACCACUAUCAUAUAGGGAUAGUAAGAAUUUUAAAAGAGGGUAGUUUAAAAAAUUAUUAACAAGAGCUAUAAAUUUAUUGCUAUAAGCUGAUUUUAACUACUUGUGAGCUAAAAACAGUUUUACACUAAAACCAAUUAAAUAUGUCACGUAAAAGGAACUACUACAUUCUUUUUAAAAUUGUAAUUGAAAUAAAAAUAUGUUUUCUAAUUUGGUAUAAUUCAAUUAGAUAUAUAUGCAAACAAUGAUUACGAAUACCUUUCAUAUAUAUAUAUAUAUAUGCUACUUGUUUUUGUCUAAAUUUUUUUAUUCUUAUCAUUCCCUCAUACCAUUAAACUAAAAAAGAAUAGGCUUAAUUGCAACUUUGGUCCCUGACGUUUACAAAAGCCACGAUUUUGGUCCCUCAUCUAAUUUAAUUACAUAAAUCGUCCCUCACCUAACACUCUGUGAGCAACGUUAGUCAUUUUGUCAAUUUGCUAACGGAAGGAGGCUGAGGUGGAUUAAUAAUCUGACGUGGACGACACUGGGGAGUGAGAGAGAGUCACAUGAGGAGCACGUGACCUCCAACAGUCACCUUCUUUCCUUUUUCUCCUAUAAAACAGAGGCAGCUCGCGUGUAAGGGUAAGGGUCCUUCUCCAACUACUGCAACUCGCGUGAAAGACGAAGAAGCUUCUCCAACUGCUGCAGGUCCUUGGGUUCGACGGUUAUGAGGGGAUUUAGCGAAGGUUCAUCUGCCUGUUCUGGAUCUGGAAGGCGAUUCCACAAGUCCAAGCCACUGAAGAUUCUUUGUGAUUGCGGAGUUGAAGCUCUCCUUGUAGCAUCAGGGACACCAUACAGUCAUGGAAGGGUGUUUUAUUGCUGUGGAUUGUACAAGGGUCCCCAUGUGACUCUCUCUCACUCCCCAGUGUUGUCCACGUCAGAUUAUUAAUCCACCUCAGCCUCCUUCCAUUAGCAAAUUGACAGAAUGACUAACGUUGCUCACGGAGUGUUAGGUGAGGGACGAUUUAUGUAAUUAAAUUAGGUGAGGGACCAAAAUUAUGGCUUUUGUAAACGUCAGGGACCAAAGUUGCAAUUAAGUCAAAAGAAUAUCUAUUUGUUUUAAUACCACCAGUAACUUUCAUCCACCAAAACAAUUUUGUUUGAACCAAAUCACAUACUAUAAACGGCAAAACUCUUCAUGUAAAGUUUUUAAGUAACUGCAUUCACAGGACUCGUAUCGAGACCUUGGAAAAAUUUAUAGCCUAAUACAUUUUUGGGAAUAAGAAUUGGUACUCCCCCUCCCCUCUCUUGGAAUUGCUACCCCCCUUAUUUUUCAGAAAAACUCAAAAUUGCCCCAUGUUUUAACACCCCCCCUUUCUCCCUUUCCCGAGCCUUUACAUUCUCUGCACUUUCUCCCGAGCUUUAGGGCUCGGGAUUGGAAGUUGUUUCCUUACGUUUUCCUUACCGAGGUCUAAGGCUCGGGAAUUGUUCUAAUUUCUUCAAGGAAGCUUCCCGAUGUUUGGCAACCUCGGAAACACAUUUUUCACAUUCCGAACUUCACAAACUCGGGAAAUCCACAUUUAUAAAUUACCGAGGCAUAUCCCUCGGAAAUAUUGUUUGAUGUGGGCUUGGAUCCAGGACUAGCCCACAAGAAAUUCACACUAAAAUGGGCCUUGAUGUGCAAUUGCAUGAUCCAUCUUUUGUUUUCCUACGCAUGAUAGUACAGUUCUGCAGUGACGUCUCCUGUCAUUUCAGUCUCAGAGCGUCAGUUUCUGUCAACUUUGCUUCUUCUUCACGGUUAGAAACUCAAGUCUCUAGGGUUUUCAACAUUUUUAUUUUUCUCAUCACUGUGAACUUGGUUUUGUCACUGUGUUUGCCCACUGUGCAACGAUGAACUUCAAAUGCUGAGUUAUUUCAUUUUUUGUGAUUUUUGUUGAUGCUUUAAACUAACAUCACACUUUUGUUCUUGCUUGCAGUGUUGCUUCUAAGAUCACCCACUUGUGCUUGCUUGCAGUGUUGAAAUGGCUGAGGUUCGAGACACUCUUCGUUCUUUCACGUGUUGUUGAAGUGUUGCUUGCAUCAUUUUCAUCAUUUUGCUGUUUAAAAACUUUGAUCUUGCUAACUUGAACUUCAUGUUUCUACUUUUGGUCAUCAGUUUUAAUUUUUUUUAGCUUAUGUUGAUUCACUUGAUUGCAAUGCAUAUAUAGGGUUCUUAACUUUUAAAAAGUUCUUAACUUUUUUGAAAAGUUCUUAUCUUUUUUUGUUUUUUGGUAAAUGACUAACUUCAAACUUUAGUUUAUGCCAUUUGUGACUAUGGCAAGUUAGCAAAUGAAAAAAGUUUUAACUUCAACAAGAAAUUUCAUUUUGUUUCAGUAUCCAUAUGGUUCAAGAGCUUACCACGGGAAUUCCUCAUCAGGGGCCAGGCAAUAUAAUACUAAUGUAAGUUAUCAACAUUGACAUAUCUCAACCUGGAAAUUACACCUUAGUAUCGCCAAAGAAAUGCUAUUUAUUUAUGUGAAACACACAUCUGGAGCUCUUGUAAGAUCUUUAUUGGUGAGAGUGAGACAGGUGUUGAAUAAAUUGUUCCUGAGGUGCACCUUUAGGCAACUUUUUUUUUUUGAAUUCUGGCAUCAUAUAAUUCAAAUCAACCUACAAAGUUUUUUCUGCCAAUAUUAACUCUGCUUAAGACAUUUCAUUGGUGAAUUUCUGCCAUAAGGAUAGGUGUGAGACUGUGCUGGACUUGUUUCUUCAUUGUUCAGUUAUCGCUGAUGCAACUUUUAAAAUUCAAGCCUAUUCUAGUGUUAAUACAUGGAGUCAUGGAUGUGUGCAAGUAAUGGUUCCUGUAGCUGAAGGCUGGGGGCUUCACCAUCAAGCCAUAGAUUAAAUUGUUCUUUGGGCCAUUUUAGGCCAAUGCAACAGUCAUAACAGAUGUCCUGAUGGAGGCUAAAGUAUACUGUUGUGCUGUGUAAUAUCUUUCUGUGCUGAUUGAUUCAACUGGGUCUCAUUUGUUGUUCAAAAUGUUUGGAAAAAAUUAUGAAUUUUUAAAUUUUCAUGACAUUUUAAACUUAAUAUAAUUUUUUCCCUUUUAACUUUGAGAUGUGAAGUUAUAUGUUGGCUCAGAGGGCUUUUAAACUGGAUGGAAAGUUUCAGAAAUUUUUCUUUGAAAUCAAUCAAUGCAUUUGAGCUUUUAGACAGGAUUCAUUACAUAUUUAUGCUGAUCUUUCUUGAUUGAUUCUCCACCUCUCUUCUUAGCUGGAUUAUUUGGCAUACUUACAACAACAAAGCUUUCUUGCAGCUUUCUUGUAUCCUUGAGUUUGAUGGUGCUUCCAGAGGAAAUCCUGGACCGGCUGGUGCCGGAGCUGUGCUGCGUGCUAAAGAUGGGAGCAAGGUGUCUACUGUAUACAGCAAUUCAUUUUGUUGAUAUGUGCUUUAACAAAUGUAGCUAACUCUUAUGUAUCAUUAUAGGUCUAUCGGUUGCGUGAAGGAGUUGGCAUUCAAACAAACAACUUUGCUGAAUAUCGAGGUUUAAUUUUAGGACUAAAACAUGCUAUCCAGGAAGGAUACGAGCACAUUGAUGUCAAAGGAGACUCCAUGCUUGUUUGCAACCAGGUUUGGCAUCUGUUCAGUUUAUGCAUUGUUCUUAAUAGGUUUCAAUAUUGUGAGUUGAGAUUUACCAACAACGAUUACUCUUCAGUUUUUCAUACAAUUUUUUCUAACCAGUUUACUAUCUGAUGUGAUUGCUUUUGCAACAGGUUCAAGGUGUUUGGAGAAUCAACAAUCAGAAUAUGGCUUAUUUGUGUAAUGAAGUGAAGGAGCUGAGGAAUAGGUUUCUAUCAUUCAAGAUUAGUCAUAUUCCUAGGGUACCUACUUACUCAUUUGGUCCAAGUUUUAUAUUUAUUUACAAAAGUGAAGAAAAUUUUGGCUAAAUUGUUCCCUUCACCCAUAUGGGUAAUGCUAAGUGGACAUCUCUGGAUAAACAAAAGAUGAAUCUUGAAAAUAAAUUCACUAGCAUCUGACAAUCAUUUAUAUGUGAUAAACACUGGAAUCAACAGUGAAGAAGACAAAUGUAGAAACUGAAAGCUAACCAAGAAUCACUGAGAUUCCAAGCUAGAGAUGAAUUGUAUUGAUAGAAAUUGGGGAAGAACAAUUAGGGUUUACAACUGAUUUCCCAAUGAUCAGUUCCUGGUUCCACAACCAGUUCCAAAUUCUACUUUCCCAAAAGAUGACUUCUACUACAAGUUUCAGCUAUUUAUAGCCUAUUGAACUAACAGCUCUCACUGCCAGCUAACAACUCUAACAAACUCUAACCGCCAGCUGUCAACUAGCUGGCUAAUUGAUUUAUUACACUUUAGUCCUUAGACUAUGCUUUCACAUAACUCUAGUCCUUUUCCUAACAUACACAUGUUUAAGGGCUGGCUUAGCCCUAGACCUAUCAAUAUGUCAUAGUGUUUCCCAUGGAUUUUUAAUUCUCAUGCCUACCUAUAAAUGAGGCCAUGUGAUCCAAAUGCUCCAGUAGCUAAAUUAUCUACAAUAAAAGUCCUGGUUCCAGUAAUAACUAGACUUUGACCAGUUUCCUACUAUUAUUGCUUAAGCUAUGUGUCCUCAAAGUAUUUGUGUGUUGUUAAGAAUUAAGAUCACUAGCAGCUUAAAUAGUUUAUAUGAAUAUUUACAUGCAAUUCUUACUAAUUUUAUAGUUUUUUAAAUGACAACUACCCUUAUUUUUUGCCUCACUUUUUUUGUGAUGUUCAAGGAAUAUAACUAUGAAGCUGAUGUUGAAGCAAAUCUAGGCGUAAAUCUCCGAGGUAAAGACCCCAAGGAUUUCCCUAUACAGUUCACUUCUUUGCUUCUCUAAUAAAUGAGAAUCCAUUUAGUAAGAUGAUUUGCAGCUAAGGCUGCUCUGAAACCUAAAAGCUGCUGUUGUUUGUAUUUGAGUAUAAUUUUCAAUUGAUAUGUUUUCAUUUUGUAACUAUAAUAAUGCUACCUUUUCUGCUUACUAAAAAAUACAGGAAGAAAAUAGUGUUAAGUGAACAACGUCUUAGCUUUCCGUAGGUUUUAAUUUCAUAUCUACUUUUGGAAGGGGUAAAUAAAUUUUCUAACUGGAUCUUAAACUUUUGCAGCUGGUCAAGUUGAAAAGAACGUGAGAUUCCUUAAUGGAUGACUGGCAGUAUCAAGCAUUAUCAGUUUCCUUUUGCUUUCAGCUAUUGGAAAUUUGGAUGCUGUAACAAAGAAGCCAGUUAAAUUUCUAACUAAAUAUGUUUUAUGCCACUCUUUUUCUUGUGUUGGCUCUCUCUAAUUCAGCCGUUUGGAUCAAUUACUGUUAGCCGUUUUGUCUGUUUGACUAUGCAUAUCGUGUAGAUGCUCACGAUUGGGGGACUAAAAAUAGUACUGCUGUUAUGUUUGGAUGGCAUUGCCUCAGCUAAUGCAAGACCUUAUUAUAAGUAUAUGUGGAGUCCUUCAGUCGUUUUGAAUUAAGACUUAGACUCAAGCUAUUUAGUGUUGCAUGUUCUUAAACUAAAAUUGUGAAAAUUGUUAUAGAAAAGUGAUUCAAAGAAAGUCAUUUUUUGUUGUUGAGGAUGAGCAGGUAAAUGCCGUCACAAUUGGGGACUGCCUGUUAAGCCUUCAAAUAUUUAUUGUUGAGUGUUGACAAGGUUGAUUAGGUACGGCUAAUGGAUGAGUUGAUUGAGAUAUUUGGUUGUAUUUUUUUAGAAAAUAAGAACAAGUACGCUUUGGAAUUUUGUGAUUAUCACUUGCUGCAUAGUCUCUCCAUUUUGUGACAAUUUAUUCAUAAAUAAAACUCCUUAUUUGAAAUUGUUUAUUAGUUUUUCUUUAUGAUAUUAAUUUUCUAUUAGAAUUUGUCUUGUAAUUGUUAUUUUUAUAUCUUUAGAUUGUUCUACUUGUCAAAUCAUAUGAAUAUUUUUCGAGUUUAACGUUUUUGAAAAGAAGUUAUGCCUACACAAGAAUGGACCUAACAACUCAUUUAAGCACAACUGAAAGUAAGGUUUGCUUUUGGUGGUGGUGCACAACCUUGAUUUGCCUUGCUUUGCAAAGCGGAGCUGCGUUGACACGACGGGGGGUGUACCUUUAGAAGAUGCUUUGAUGCUCAAGUUAGUGAGUAAACAAAUAGAAAAUCUCGAAGUUUGAAGGAUUCUAGGUUUGCAUCAUAAGUAAUGCGUAAAUUAAUGAACAACUGCACUUGCAAUUGUAGGAUUGGUAUUGUAAGUCUUUAGGAAGUCUCGUGUAUGGUCUUUCGAUGUCGUGGUUUCCCUUAGGCAGCCAACCUUUGUGAUCUUUAAUAAAUGAGUCGGCGUUUGGGUGGUGGUCUUAGUUAGGAUGAAUUCUUCCUUUAACUAAGUCAUCUCAUGCACCUCUAUGACACUCAAUUGUGAGGCAUUUGGGCGGACAGUCUUUUAACUUUUGGGGCUGGGUAUAACACUUUCUUUACUUGCUCCUUGAUACAUAGAAAUCUUCUCCACAACCUGAACACCACAUGUUCUCGAGGGUUAGCCUAAGUGGUAAGAGUUAGGGAACAUAAGGGUUGAGUGAGAUGUUGGGUGGGAUGAAGGGUGAAGGGUCUAGGGUUCAAAACUUGAUGAGAGACUAAUUUACUAACAUUACUAACAACUAAUAUUUUCCUGUAAAAAAAACAUAUCAUCACACACAUAACCAGGUCCUAUUGCAAACAUUAGCCAACCAGUGCACUAGUUGUACUCAACAAACAUAUUUAUGUGGAACUUGGCUUUUUUUCACAUGCAGGGCUUACAUUUUUUCUUUCAGAGGUAUCUCACCUCUCUUUCACCGCAUGAGCUAUCUACAAGGGACAUUAAAUUACUACUUGAAUUAUGUUGAAGUCGACUCUUGAUAAACACAUACACAUAGACAAAAGAGAGAGGUAUGAAAUGAGAUGAAAAAGAAUACUAAAUUAUGUGAGAUAAACAUAUUUACAUAUGCCAUCUAUUUUUUGUUCACACAUGCCAUUUCAAUACAUAAUUUCUUCUUGUCAAAAAACACACAAAAUCUUGGGCUUAAGAAGCUAUUGGGCCAAAAACAUCUACAACCAACUUCACACAUGUAAAGAAAAAACAGAAAAAAAACUUGGUACUAGAAGCAGUGUACAACAUCAUGUUCUGUUGUGGAUAGGGAGUGAAAAACAGCAACUUCAUCAUCAACUAUCCAACCAGUUAUCAUCACUGUGUGUUGAAAAUGGCAACACUAUUUUCAUCUCCAUCUCUGCAUUCCAUUCGCCUCUCUUCUCCUCCUUCUUCUACACCUUCUUCUCCUUCCCUCGCGUUUUGCACCUUCCCUCUCCACCCUCGCUGUUCACCUUUGAAGGCAUGGACAGUCAAGAACCGUUUGUUUCGUGUGGCCAAGGCGGUUGAAGGAGAAGAAGAAGUCAGCACCACUGAGUCUGAACCACCGCAACAACCAUCCACCUCGGAGCAGCAACCCGUUGUGGUUCCCAUUUCCCCAUCUGAUACUCUCACCAUGCUCUUUCAGGUACACCACCACUAGUUUCACUUUGAUGACUGGUAGGUGCUUGUUGUAAUGCCCGUGUGAAAAUUUUGGAGCUUUGGACCUUGUAUGUAAUGUGAUGAACUAGUUUUGUGGAUGUUCCUUUAAAUCUAAAUUGUGAUGAAUUUUGCAGACCUACCCAUUAGGCAAUUUUUGUUCUUUGUUUGAUAUUUUGACUCAGUUAUUAUCUUUUCUUGCAAUUGUGGUCCUAAAUUAUGCAGGGAUUGUAUGAAAUUAGAAUACUGAUAAAAAUAGGCUUAUCAUGAUAGUGUUUGAUAAAAUGACAUGCAAGAUUGUGUAAGGCUGAGACUUCUUGAUGGGGGAGGUUGUGAACUGUGAAGUAACUACAGAGUGAACCUAGCUAAAUAAAUUGGACUAAGCACCCAAAUUAGUGUCUUAAAGAUACAGCUUUAAUCAUAUUAGUCUUUGUAAGACAAAAAUGACCAUGUAAAUCCCUUAAAUAUCCAUUCCCUAGGUCAAAUUAGUCUUAGAGUUAAUAAUGUCAUGGGCUAAUUUGACUUCUAAAAUACAUGUUUUAGGGACCUAUGUGAUCAUUUUCAUCUUCCUGAUAUUAAUUAUCAACAUUCUAUCUUUCUAGGAAUCAAUUGAGAGUUUACUCAAAUAAUUAACCCUAACUGUCCGCAUAUCAUAUCAUAUCAUAUUGGCUAAAGACCUAUCAUAUUAUCCUCACUGAUCAAUACUGCAUAUGUCUGCCCCCUAAACGGACGGAUAACUUAAUAAAUGGUCUUUUGAGCCACUGAUUAUGGUAUAUACUUGUUGUAAUUGGAUCACUUUGCUUGGGACUAACUGUCUACUUUGGCAAAUUUGAAGGCAGAGGGAAUAUUGAAUGAAACAGCUGUUCCAGCUUUAACAAAAGCUCUAGAGGUAGCUCUAUAAACUUUCAUAAUCUAAAUUUUUUUUGUUCAAUAACUUCAAUGUGAACAUAGAUUGAUGCAGUAAGUCAUUUUUCUGUCAUUGUGUCAUUUGUCUGUAUUCUGUUCCGAGUUCCUUGUUGAACCUAGCAGCCAUAAUGCUGCUUAUGAUUAGGUUCUUGUUUUUUAAUAUCACCAUUUAUUACUUUCUUCUAAAAAGUACAUGAAUGAGUCUUGUUGACCGGUUGCCUUUAACUUAAUGAUGAUGCAGGCAGGUUAGAGUGUUUUCUUUUUUCAGACUGAAUCCUGUCCAUCUUCAAUCCAAAUGUAAUUUAAAAGAAGAUAAUGGUAUACUACAUUUGGGAAACAAAAGUCAACCUAGUUUAUGAAUGGGGUGAGAUGUUCAUAGGAUGAUCAUGAAGAGAGGAAGUCCCAUUCAUUGGCCAAAUAUUGUGAAGUGAGGGGGAAUGCGUUUCUUCGUCUGCAGUAACAGAAAUAGCUUAAUCUAGUCAUGGGCGUAUGUCUUAUUUAUAUCCAUUAAGGAUUUAUAAAGACAGCUUUUAAUUCUAUUUCUAUAAAAUAAUUUGGUUGUUAUAUUUUUGAUUGUCUUCUUUGUUUGUUCUUCUGUCAUGUCGUUAUUGUCUUUGGAAACUUUGGGGCUUAUUACCUUAACACUUGCUUAUUAAUGUUCCAUUACGUUUAUCUUUAUAGGAGACAGAUGGUGUUACCAAUUUGAGGGUUCAUCUUUUUGAGGGACUCGCAAGUUUAGAGGUAUGCUUUAGUACAAUAUCCAAUUGCCUAAAGGCUUUUAUUUCUUUCAAUAAUGAACUCUAAACUAUUGAUUUUGAAUGAUUGUGAGAAAUCAAACUAUUUUUUGCUGCAACCUUUAUGGGAUUGAAAUCUCCUCUUAAUAAUUAAUUCAUUAUUUUGUCAUUGAAAUGUUGAUAAUACACAUCAUAUCCUUGAUCUUUAUAAACUUUGCUACUGUUAAGUUUUUUAUGUAAGGAAGCAAGUGCUCAUGAGCCCGUGGCAGAGAAUUUAAGAAAUGGUUUUUUAUUAGGUAAACAUUACACGAUGAGUUUAACUUUACUUCAAUAUCAUUAAUGAAUUUUGUGCUCUUAUUCAGUUGGAAAAACAGACAACAGUCCAAGCUACAGGAGUGGCUUCUAGUCUGGUAGAAACCAUACAAGGUUUAGGCUUUAAAUUACAGACGUUAAAUCUGAGCUUUGACGACGCAGAAGUUGCAGCUGCCUAGACUAAAUGUGCUGGUUUAAGACCACUGGAGUUUGAGGAAGGAACAAUUUAUAGAAGUGGCAUGUUCCUGCUUUUCUGACUAACGCCUACUGCAGUCAUUUUUGGUUUGUAUAGGCUUUGAUUAAGGGUGUUGGUUAUCUUUUUUUGUAUUUGGAGGGUGUUGCUUAAAUUUCUUUAUUGUUGUUAUUAUUUCCUGGAAAAAUUUUAAGAGUAUGUAAUGAUAAAAGGCUUCAACUGAUACAGCUUUUUGAUGGUAGAAAGCUUCAUCUGUUCUUUUUUUUUUUUAAAUCUUAAUUUUGUAUUAUUUUAUUAGACAUGCUCGACCAAGUUAAGAAGUGGACUUUAAAGGAUACAAUACCAAUUUAAUUAGGGUAUCUUACCAAUUAUUUUGUUUUGUAGCUAGUUUGGUUGAUGAAUAAGGUUAUGAAAUGAAUUGAAAUUACAAUUGAUACCACCUAAAACCAUGAGUUAAUAUAUGUUCUAAAGUUGAAAACAUUAUAUAUCUAAUGAAAAACCAAUUAUUUUGUUUUACUGCUAGUUUAGUUGAUGAAUAAUGUUAUCAAAUGAAUUGAAAUUACAUUUAUACCACUGAGAACGAUAUAUGAGUUAAAUUAAUAUAUGUUCUAAAGUUGAAAAGGUAAUAUUAAAGAAAACCCACAUAAAUGUAAACUAAAGCAUAGUAAUAUGUUUGUUUUUCUUUCACCGCAUUAGUCCUUCAUUCUCUAGUUGUGUUGGAUGUUCCUUCAUUGGUGGUCUUGGCGGCUCAUGUAAAUAACACCCUGCAUACAUUAUUAAGAGCACAAGUCCACAAAUUGCCCCUAUGACAUUGCCAAUCAAGGUAUAAAUGUAUGGGUGAAAUAAGUGCAAAACUAUCCGAGUAGAAUCCAUUUACCCUUUUUGAAAAUGGACCGUUUGAUCAACAAUGUGUAACACAACUGGUAGAUAGUUGGACUCUUUAAUCAUUUAGUCCAGAGUUCGAUUUCGAGGCGGUGCGUAUGGAGAAGCAUUUGUUUGGAGAGCUAGGAGGUCAUUAUCCUUAGGUUCACAUUUACACUAUAGGGGUUGGAGUUCCCAUAUACUUCCAUGUCUUAUUUUCUCUGUUUUAUAAAAAACUUAAUAGUAGACUAUUUUAGUAUUUUUAUCAGCAAAGAAAAAUUAUUAAAUGUGAGCAUGCUAUAGUUAGCUGUUCCAGAGAAGGUGAGAACUUUCAUCUGGUUGGCCCUUCAUAACUCCAUUCAGGUUAACGCGCAUCGCUUCCGCUGCAAGAUGGCGGUGGCUCCUUCUUGUCCUCGUUGUUCAGCCCCGGAGGAGGAUAUCUUACACUGUCUCAGAGAUUGCCCUCACUCCCAAGAAAUUUGGCUAAGGCUUGGGGCAUUGGCGUGGACUAAUUUUGGUGUUGGAGAUCAUGGCAAUUGGAUCAGCAGCCAAGCUCGAAGCAGGAAUAGCGUGAAGUUCUUGGCUGGUGUGUGGGGAGUGUGGAAAUGGAGGAAUAACAUGGUUUUCGAGGAUUCACCUUGGUCGGUUGAUGAAGCUUGGCGUAAGCUUUGUCAUGAGCACGAUGAGUUCAUUACUUUUUCAGAUGGGGAUGCAGGGGAUCCUGGGUCUUGGCUGAGUUCUAGGUGGCAACCGCCGAGGCAAGGGACUGUUAAGCUGAACGUGGAUGGGAGUUUUUGGGAGCAGGAUCGCUGUAUGGGGGCGGGUGGCUUGAUUCGGGAUGAUCAAGGCAAAUGGCUGUGCGGUUUUUAUGCUCACCGAAGAGGGGGGAAUGCGUUAAUUGCAGAAGCUACUGCGCUGUUGAUAGGCCUGGAGCUGGUGUGGGAUCGGGGUCAUCGUCAUGUCAUGGUGGAGGUGGACUGUGGGGAGCUGCUGCAUGCGAUGGAGGAUGAAGAGAGCUGUCGUUUUUUGCCCAUCCUGAAUGUCAUCCGCAGCUUCAAGACCCGGGAUUGGAGCUUGAGCAUUCAUGUAGCCCGUCGAGAAUGCAAUGCGCCGGCGGAUUCCCUCGCCAAGACAGGAGUUCGGUCAGCUUUGGUGGACGUUUGCUUCUUGGAAGACCCUCCUCCAGAUGUUGAAACGCUAGUCCUUAUGGACUCUUUGUUUGUUCGUUAGUUUUUGUAGCUCUGUUAGUUUUCAGAUGAAGCAAAAAAAAAUGCUAAAGUUAAUUCAACCCACAUAUAAAAAGACCCCACAGAUCCCAUUAAAAUGUUUCACUACUGAUAAGAACUAAGACCAUCCACAAUGGAUGGUUGAAUCCUUUGUUGAAGUGUGUUUAAUUGUGUUGAAUAGGUUUAGUGGUUUGUUGAAAUUGGUUGAAAGGGAGAGAGAGGGUGAUUUUGUUGAAGAUUUUAAACAUGUUGAAAGAGCCUGCGGUGUGCCACGUGGCGCGAGGCCAGUGGCCACCGCAGGCGCGUGGCAUGCACGCCCAGACGCGCCUUGUCUGCAGGGGAGAGAGAAAAAAAUUUUCAGCCCCUGCCACGUGGCUGCCUCUGGUUGGUCCGUCCGGAUUUCGUUUUUCCUUAUCUUUUGAACUCAAUUAUUUCAUAAAAAAAAAUAUUUUCUGAAAAAAAAAAUUAUACCAAAAUUCAUGAUUUUUUUUUCUCUAUAAAUAGAGACUUGGUUCGUUUGAUUUGGACACAGAAAAAAAAACCAAGUUUUUUCACACUCUUAUUAUCUCUCUCACCAUCUUAUUUAUCUAUAUAUUAGCAUUUGUAUUGAAAUGGAUCCCAACAAUCCUCAUUUCAACACCCAGAAUUCUUCAAACAACCCAUUUUCUCUAUAAGUGUUUAUUGUUUUAAUUUAAUUUAAAUCGAUAAUUGUAAUUUUAUGUAAUUAUAAAAACAAAAAUAUAAAAUUAAAUAAAAAUGUGAAAUAAAAAAGUGGUGGGGUAGGGUGAGUGGUGAGUGGUGAGUGGUGGGGUAGGGUGUUGAGAGUUAAACAAAACCAUUGGAGUGGGUAAUUGUUGAAAGUUUGUUGAAUUGGAGAGAGAAGAUGAUGUGGAGUGUUGGGAAGAGAAAAAGUGGAGUAGAAAAUGGUUAAAUAAAACAUUUUUUGUUUAAUCAUUGUAUAUGGUCUAACAUCAUAAAUAAAUACCACCAUAAUUUCUUUUAUCUUUGACAGAUCUAUCACUCAUCAUAACAAAUGUUUUUUUAAGAUUUAAACUGGAUCUAACUUGCUUACUAUUGUACUAUCAUAACACCUGGUUAAUAACACUACUACACUUUGAAGAAAGCCAAGAGCGGGAUGAACUCUAAUGAGGUCCACAACGUCCUUAGAAGAUUGAUUCUUAAAUACCACCCAAUUUCUUUACCUUGCAAUCAAUUAGAAAUUAAUAGGCUAAAAAACACUUUUGCCCCCUGAUGUUUCAAGUUUGUGCAAAUUCUGCCCCUACUCUAUUUUUGUCGAUGUUUCUACCCCUCAUGUUUUCAAACAGUGCAUCGUCUACCCCUCCAUCAGUCAAACGUUAAAAAACUAACGGAAUGAGCUGAUGUGACUUUUUUUUAUAUAUUUUUUGGAACUGCCACGUGGAAAUUACAAGUGAAAUUGGAAAAAAGAGGCAAGGGAGAUUCAAACUCAAAACCUGUAAGUAGCAAAACAUGCAUUUAACCAGUUCAAUUACAUGCAUAAUUGAUAUAAACAUCAAGCAAAUUUAAUUUAUAUCAUUUCCUUGAUCAUCAUCAACUUCAUAUACUCUUCUUCAUCUCUCCAAUCCACUCAGGAACCUCUCCUGAGAAAGCCUGACUGACGGAGGGGUAUACAGUGCACUGUUUGAAAACGUCAGGGGUAGAAACAUCUAUAAAAAUAGAGUAGGGGCAUAAUUUGCACAAACUUAAAACAUCAGGGGCAAAAAAAUGUUUUUUAGCCAAAUUAAUACUAGCAUUACUGAGUUUGUGUGUGUAUGUUUUUACUUCGAUCACAUUAGAUGCUCUCCAAUCAUAGUGGGGAUAAGAGGAAACAAUGCAAGUGUACAAAUUGGACGCAAAUAUCAAGACUCCAUGUCCAUAAUUGCGAUCUCUGCAACCCAUCUGAAAGCUGUUUCCUCUUCAUAAAGUUGACUUGAAAAAAGAGCAAGAAAAAUAUGAGUUUGCUAUAGUACUGUGAGUCGGUGACAGCCAUGGUUUGGUCCUUUUGGUCAUCCUAUGAGCUGUGUCCAGAUCAUGUUUAGGGUCUCCUCAAAGUUUUCAUCUGAUAUUUUAACGUAUUCUGAUGUAAUUUAGUAGACAUGCUAUAUGUUACCAAGAAAAUUACAAUAAUGUAAGACCAUAUACAAUGGAUGGUUGAAACCAUUGUUUAAGUAUGUUGAAUUUUGUUGAAAUGGUUUAAUGGUUGUUGAAGUUUGUUGAAAGGGGGAGAGAGAAAAAAUUUGUUGAAGAUUUUCAACAAGUUUAAAGAGCCUGCGGUGUGCCACGUGGCGCGAGGCCAAUGGCCACCGCAGGCGCGUGUGCCACACGCGCAGACGCGCCUUGUCUGCAGGAAAGAGAAAUUAUUUUUUUUUCUCCUGACACGUGGCUCGUUCUGAUUGGUUGCUCCAGAUUUCGUUUUUCCUUAUCUUUUAAACUCGAUUAUUUCAUCAAAAAUAAUAUUUUCUGAAAAAAAAAAUUAUACCAAAAUUCAUGAUUUUUUUCCUCUAUAAAUAGAGACUUGGUUCGUUUGAUUUGGACACAGAAAAAAAAAACCAAGUUUUUUCACUCUCUUUAUCUCUCUCACUAUCUUAUUUAUCUAUAUAUAUUAGUAUUUGUAUUGAAAUGGAUCCCAACAAUCACCAUUUCAACACCCAGAAUUAUAGUCUAUAUUUAAAAAAAAAUUGUUAAGUGUUUAUUGUUUUAAUUUAAUUUAAAUCGAUAAUUGUAAUUUUAUGUAAUUAUAAAAACAAAAAUAUAAAAUUAAAUAAAAAUGUGAAAUAAAAAAGUGGUGGGGUAGGGUGUUGAGAGUUAAGUAAAACCAUUGGAGUGAGUAAUUGUUGAGAGUUUGUUGAAUUAGAGAGAGAAGAUGAUGUGGAGUGUUGGGAAGAGAAAAAAUGGGGUAGAAAAUGGUUAAACAAAACAUUUUUUGCUUAACCAUUGUAUAUGGUUUAAGAGUAGUGUUAGCUGGUGCAGUAAACUACGUGCAUUCACAUUUCGCUAAUGAGAGCAAAUUAUAACAAGAUUGGAUAUCAUAUAUUCAAUCUAAAUUUUAAGAUGUUAGACGAAUGAGUUCUUUCACUAAAAAAUUGCUCAGUAUUCUUUUUAUCUAAUGUGAGCUUCUUACAACAAUCUUUUUCUCAAGUAUAUAAGUCACCAAAUUGUUAGUAAAUCUUUCAACACCACUAUUUGGCCAAAAGAUAUACUUAAAACUAAAGACGAUUUUUUACAUUAUGUUAAAGAGCAAACCACAAGUGAAUUAAACAUUAUGACCCAGUUUGGAAGAGCUUAUUUAAGCUUAUCUGACAGCAUAAACUCUUAUCCCAGUGUUUGAGAGAGCUUAUGCAAACAGCUUAUGCUUAUUUUCAUAAGCUACUCAGGACAGCUUAUGAAAAACAGCUUAUGCUUAUAUACAGCUUAUUUAUAAUUUAUUUUAAUAAAUUUUUAAAAAUAGCUUAUGAAUAAGCGCUUAUGUCAUAAGCGCUUAAUUAAGCUGUUUUUCCAAACGGGGCCUAUAUCUAUCACCUAAAAGCUUAAGACAUUGAGUGUAUGAGUCAUAUCACUCAUAAACUGAUUAACACUCUUUUUAUCAUUGCUAAACUUCUUAAUCACACUUGAUAUCAAAACAUUACUUUUGAACACCAACCUUUCCCAUCCUUGCUUUCAUAUUUUAGCUUAGAAACAAGUGAGAUCCCACCUUUCAAUGUCAAUUAAAAAUGCUUUUGACUUAAACCAAACAUUUUGGAAGAGCUCAUGGCAGAGAGAACCACCACUUUUUAUGUUUUAUAAUUUGCAUAGUAACUUUUGAUAUUUUGCUUUUAGUAUAAUUUGGUUACUUUGAGAAAUUGUAAGGGCUGCGUCUACCGUGUGUCAGUUUCAAACUGACACACGGUGCUUCAGUUUUCCUAUAUGAGUGAUAAGACAAAAUUAACCUUCAUUGCUCAAAUUUUUCCAUCUUUCUCCUUCCACCAUCAUCAACACUCACUCUUCUAACCUUCAAGUUUUCCAGAUCUGCAGAUUAAUUGGAACUGAAUAAUGGGUAUGACAUUUUUUUUUUUGGAAGGAGAAAUUUAUUAAUAAAGAAGGGAACCAAGAGCAGUAGAACCGACUCAAGGACCAGGAACAACAGAAACUAGCCAAGGAUCCCCACAUAGACAGCAUCACGAGGCCAAAAAGAAAAGGAACAAAAACCAGAAGAUGAGAAAAUGUAGCAGAAAGCAAGAGACAGAAAAUUAGAGAAUAAUGGGUAUGACAUUUACCAACUCUCACUCUUCUAAUCUUCAACUUCAACCUUUCUCUUCCAACCCUAUCUUCUUCUUCAUCUUCUGUCCCAAAGCUCUUCACUUUCUCCAUCCCCAUUUCCAAUUAACCAGAUUCAUCAAAACUGGGUUUGUGUCUAUUCUUCUGGGUUUUGCUGGGUCUCUAACUGCAGUUCAUCCAGCCACUGCGUUGUACAGCCACAACCCCAACGCACCGCACAUCCGCCAGCGGUUGUACAGCAACACCAGCGGCGUUCUCAGCACAAUCGGUACUCCGACCACUGUAGAACCAUGGAGAUGGCUUACCUGAUGGCUUUGAAGCAUUUCUGGGCAGCAAAACACCAAAGAUCUCCACCACGGUUCCUAGAUCUGGGCAAACUUCCAUAUACCUGCAACUGGAGUUUCCAGCCAACUCCGGCGUCGUUUUAAAGCGAGACCACCACCAUUAGACUUCUCGUCUUGAGAGCUUUCAGAUCCUGUAGUUAGCUCGUUGAAGUGAAGCUUGGGUGCGCGGCGGACAAAGAAGCGACACGGCGGAGAUGGUGCGGUGGUGGAUGAAUCCGACCAAUGGGGGUGGGUUGGGGAAGAAGAAGGGUAUUUUUGUAAAUUAAGAUAUAAUUAACAAAUGAAUUGUUUUAAUGCUAAUUUAUCUGAACCGUUAAAAUUUAAAAAUAUCAGAUCUAAUGGUGCAUAUGAAACUGAAGCACCGUAUGUCAGUUUGAGACUGACACACGGUAGGUGAAACCUUCAGUUUAAACUAGUAUGAGUUUAAUGAAUAUAACAAAUUUGUAAUUGCAUUAUUGUUUUCAAGAUUUGAAAAGAAUUUAAAACAUACAUGCUCACAAGUUAAGACGGGUAGCUUUGAACUAUAAGUAAUUUUAGAGCAUUUAAGCAUGUUGUCAAACAUAUUAUAAGUAAAUAUCUGUUUUAAAUUGAACUCAACUAAACGUCAAUGAAAAUUUUGGGUUCAUUACACGCCUUACAAACUUAGUUAAUGUUUUAAACUAAAUUGAACCAAAUGACCAAUACCACUUGCCUUUGCCUAUAUGACUAUAUCCUAAUGGUGCCAUUCUGCUUUGACUAUAGUGUUUGUCAAACCGAGGUGUCCUCAGAAGAUAUGUUAUGAAUUCUGACAUAUUCAUCUAAAGCAUUACUUGCUAUGUUUAAAAUUCCCAAAGACAGGCCUUGUGUUCAGUAGCGUAGAUUAGUGGCAAGUGGCAACUCACCUCACACACUCUCACAACAAGAGCCUAGAUAUGCUAAUUUACUAUGCACAAUGUUAGAGGCACGUGGGUUGGAAGCUGUAUCAGUCAGUUUAGGAGACAGUACUGAGGCAUUAUUUCACACCAGCUACCAACCACCGCUAACUUUUUCUUAUCUCUCCCCCAACCUUGACCUCUAUAUAACACAACAUCUAGCUAGUAAUUGGUUCAAUCAGCACUCACUAGAGAACCAAUCACUUUUUCUCCUUCCUGAAAUGGCUUUCAAAGCCAUUCUUCUUCUGAGCAUUUUUCUUGUGGUCUCCACUAAGGUAUAACAUAGUUUCAUUCUGAUGAGGAAAUUACUUUCUUGUUCCAAGUGUUUUAGCUUCAAUAUCCUAUAACUUUGUUUUUAAUAUUUUUAUGUGCAGGUUUUUUCCCAUGAUGAAGAUCUCAAGAUAGUGGUAUGUUUGAUUAACUUUUGGUAUCUAAACAUCCUCAUAGAUAAACUUCAUUUCAUAAAUUAUUAUCACUAUCUGUAUGAUUUGUUUAUCUUUUUCUUUUAUUAUUAAGAGUGAUCUAAUGUAGCUUAUUUUUCACUUUAUCUUUUUAAAAUAGGUUAUUGCUGUUCUUUUAUUAAAAUACAAAUAAACAACUCUGGUUUUCUAGUCCUGUUAAUACUCCAUAGUCCACUCAGUUAGCACACAUUUAAUUAAUUGUUUAUUGCUUUGCAUUGAAUAGAAAUUGAUUUCCCCCACCUUCACUCCUCUGUUUUUCAUUUUUGUCAUAAUCUUUUCCCUCAUAUUUCCCACUUUUGAUAACAAGGAGAAUCUCUCACUUAACAUAGAUAUGGAAAGAUAUGUCAUAUGUUAAAUCCAUACACAGACAAAUAUAAAAGCAGUGUAUUAGACUUUAAAAGUUAUCAAUUUUUCCAUGCUAAAGGGCUAGAAAUCUUGUAUUUGGUACAGGUGAACUAUGCAAUUCCUUCAGUUCCUGCUCCUCCCUCACCAGUAAAACCACCAACUCCUUCAACUCCAGCAGUGACAGUUCCCACUCCACCUCUAGUGAAGGCACCAACUCCACCACCACAACCACCCGUGAAGGCACCUUCUCCUCCCAUAGUGAAAUCACCACCUUACUUUCCACCACCAGUGAAGGCACCUUCUCCCCCCAUAGUGAAAUCACCACCAGUGAAGGCACCAACUCCUCCCAUAGUGAAAUCACCUCCUUCCUAUCCACCACCAGUGAAGGCACCUUCUCCUCCCAUAGUGAAAUCACCACCAGUGAAGGCACCAACUCCUCCCCAAGUGAAAACACCUCCUCCUCAUCCUCCUGUAGUGAAGCCCCCUGUUGCUCCAAUUCCAUCAACUCCCAUAGUCAAAUCAAUGAAGGGUAAGUGAGUUACUAAAUCAUGUCUAUGAAAACUCUCUUCUUCAAUCUCUGUUGUAAUUCAUUGACCAAAAGAAAAAAAAAAAAAUCUCUGUUGUAAUUAAUAAUGAUUCACAUUUUCACAUUUUUUUUUUGUAUAAUUUGUGCAUAAUGUUUAUAAAGCAAACUUACACUCAAUAAUAUCCCACAAAAUUUAGUGUUUUUUUUCUCGAGCACAACGGCCUCGGAGGAUCCAUAUAGCCGAUUUCACUAAGAUAAGAAUUUUGUUGCUAUACAUAAUGUUCAGGAUUGAUUCUUGAUUAAUUCUUAAUGUUUGCUUAAUUUUAAGUGUUACUAGAAUCUGAUGAGCUAAUUGACACUCUUGAUUUUAUUUUUAUGGGCAGAU